CUAUGAGCGCCUUCAAAAUGAUGGGUCGUUAUAUCUUAAAAUUGACCUAGUCAUCAUGAACAUUUCGCUAUUGAUGGGUACGUUACUUACCACUGAAAAAAAUAAUUAACCGUAAAUAAGAGCAUCCGUAUCAAGUCUAAAACUUAAAUACAUGUGGGUUGAUUAAAGAAAACAUAACCAGUUGAGUCAUGCACAAUUCGCACAGACCUAAUAUUUGAACCCGGUUGUACAUAGUACACAUUAACACGGUUGAGUUUUAUUUUUUGAAUGCGAACAGGGAUGAGUUAUUAGCUCAUGAACAUUCCUACCAGUGUUUUACCGUUAUCUCUACUGAUACUGAUACCGUUCAGUUUUUAUAAUCAAUUACUCCCUCCCUCCCAAAAUAUAGCAACCUAGAAUCGGAUGGAACGUAUUCAUAUUUCAUCCGAUUUAGAAUACGUUCCAUCCGAUUCUAGGUUGCUAUAUUCUGAGACGGAGGGAGUAGUUUUUAUGACAAUUGACGGUGGGGAUGAUUAAUUUACUUGCUUUGUGUUUUACACCUUUCGAGAGAUCUUUGACUUCCUGUAAUUCAUUCUUUUUAAUUACUUGUUUCAUGUUUUACACGGUUUUAGAUGUCUUUGACUUCCUGUAAUUUAUUUUUAUUUUUUUACCGAGGAUGAAGAGUGAGGAGAGAUCUUGACUUUGCUUUCUUGCUUAAUUUAGUUGAGCAUCGACGGAGAUAUCAUCGAGAGAUCGACUUGAUCCACCUGAAAACGAUAUAUUUACCAUUCCUUCCUGAACUUGCUGAUCUUCCAUGUGAAAAAGCCACCAUUUUUUACUCUGUUUAGCACCUCUCCACCUCUGAUUCGAUCUUAUUACUUUUGCCUUUGCUUUCUUUUUUUUUUAAAAUCUCCACAUCAUUUUCAGUUUUUCACGAGAUCAUUCAGAUCUGUAGAGCUUUCCAAGGGAGCAGCAGCUUCCUCUCACUGUCACCUCAUAAUGAAGAUGCUUUGUGUAUAGUUGUGUGAUGUGUUCGUCAUCUCGUCUCCUUGUAGCUACGCUUGUGUCGGUGCAGCAGCCAGUAUGGUUUUCUUUUUUUAACCAUGCAUUUAGGUUAAUUAAUCUCAUUUCACCGAUUAAUUUGCCUGUGUGAAUUUGAGAUUAAGUAGGGAGGAGGCAUUAACUAGAGCCGGCACAUAAUGAAGGCUGAUGUGAAUGGAUAGAUGUUUUUGCAGGGCAUGGAGAGCCAUACUGGUAUAAACGGUGUGGCAUUGAAGAUUUCACAUUACCUGUUGAACUACGCGGCCAUGUCACGAGGAGUUAAUGACAGCAUUUAGAUUAUCAUAAAAUUUUCAAGUUCUUCUUCUUUUUUAAAAAAACAUGUUUGACAGGGCCAGAGAAGUUUCAGCAAAUAUAUGGAUUAUUCCAGCUCUGAUCAAGUUAUGUGUUAAAUUACGAGCAACGACUAAUAAGCCGUAGAAAAAUGAAGAGAACAAAUUUAUAAGUUUUUUUUAAAAAAAAAUGUAGGUUCUAAAUUUGAAAUUGGUGUGAUUUGUAAGACAAUAAUCAGACGACGAGACUUUCAAAAAAAAGGAAGUCUUUUGACAUGUGCACACCGACAGGCCAUUUUGCUUGCAAUGCACACGAAGAAUUGGGACAGUGCUUUGGCAUCUGAAAACGCCACGUUGUCGUCCCUCACGAUCCAACGUUGAUCUUGGCUCAUGAUUGCUUCUCGAUCAAUUCUUUCUUUUUUUUUAAGAAUUUCAUUACUACUACUGUACAGGGGUACUGGUACUAGUAUACAUACUCCUCUCGUACUAUUAAAGGAAGUCGUUUAAGAUAAUAUUUAAGUAAAAUCUUAAAAAUAUAAAUCAUGAAUAGUUUUUAAAUUAUUGAGUCUGAAAAUAUAAAAACUAUAUGAAUAGAUUUAGCUUUCAUAAAAAUAUAUAUGCCACUUUUCAAUAAAUAUUUUUAUAGAAACAAAAAAUUAAAAUUAUGUUUUAGAGAUCGCAUCGCUGUUCAAAACGACUUUCUAUGCAGCUGAAGUCAAGGCAUCUGACUGUAGACUUCAUAUGGAUGUAUCAGAUGACCACGUGGCACGUUCUUACAGGGUCCCACCUACAGCUGCUGUGCAGUAUGCCUCCCCUCACUGCACCUGAUCCCAAUUCCUCACCGACGAAUGCUACGAAAUGAAACGAAUAAUGGUCGCCUUUUUUUGGCACAUGAAUAAUGGCCUCCUGAAUGUACCUUUCGAUUUGAAGGUUUUCACAGGAGUUUCAAAGAAUUCAAAUCCUUAGAUGUUUGUUUCUCUAAGAAAAAAAAUGUACGAAUUACCCCCCUCCCCCCUAACUAUUGCGACAGUACGAAUUACCACAUAAACCACAAAACCAGACAUAUUACACCUUAAACUAUUGAUACCGGAUGAACUCCCCCGCCCCCCUCCCCCCUCCGACUCAAUCCUGAGCUGUUUUUCUCCUACGUGGCAUACACAUGACGUCGACGUGGAAAUCCAAUCAGCAAAAAGAAAUAAAAGAAAAUAUAGGGCCCACCUAUCAUUACCUCUCUUCCCCUCCCCCCUCACUCCCUCGGGCGUGCGUGGACGGGCUAUGGGCGGCGGCGGCGGCGCGCGAACGGGCGGUUGGCAUGCGGGGGGUGGCGACAAAGCGCGAGAAUGGCACGCGGGCGGCAAGCGGUGAGGAGGGCGUUGGAGGAGGCGGGCUUCGUUGUCAUCGUCGUGGGGAGAGGGGCAGAUGAGGUUGGAGGAUGCACCAGCGAGGGAGCGCCCUCCUCGCCGCAACCCGCCGCCUCUCGCGCCCUCUCCGUGAGUCCGCAACACUAUAGCCCCAUCGCCUCUAGCGCCCUCCUCGCCGACGCCCGUAGCCCGCGGUCCGCGUCCCGCACCCUCCCUCCGCCCACCCCCCCCCACCCCCGCCCGCGCGCAACGCCGUGUGCUCGACCUGCACUGGACGACCCAAACCCUAUCAAGAACGUCGCCGCCGCUGCUGUCAGGGUUAUGGAUACCACAUACUUAAUAGUAGUUGACUAAAUCUCGGCAGGACCCACCACAUACCAUGUCUUAUACGGAAACAAUAUUCGAAUAUAGGAGGAGUUCCGCAUAAGGAAGGAUAACUAGAGUUCUACAUGAAAAUGACAAGGACUACUCGGAUUGUAUCCAUAUUGGUUUCCCUAGUUCUACUUGGACAAGAGGACACCUAUGGGUAUAAAUACAAAGCCCCCUAGGAGGAGAGUGAACACGGAACAACAGAAGCCACAACAUACAAGCCAACAUACGCCAAGACAAGACACUAGAUAUCGACUUCAGAGAUAGGCAUGACUAGUCCCCUACGGUGCCUACGGAUACCGUCAGGAGAGAUAUAGCGUUGUCUCUGAUCUCGCCGGAUGCGGAUUCGAGGAGGAAGGCUACCCUGUUGUCGACUACGAGUCAGACAUUCAGACCGCCAUGUCGACAACACUUAGAUAGGCUACCCCAAAUAUUGUACGAGUGUGAUUAUGGUGAAUAAGAGCAAUACCGGCUUCGGCCAAUAGGAUGAAGGGUUAUUACCUGACAAUUCAGGGGGCCCGAACCUGUAUAAAAAUCCUCGUCUCCGUCUCUUUUACCUCAAUCUCGCAUAUAUCCUGGUAUCAAUGAUCCCCAUACUAUGCAAAUACCGGAAUCGUGACAUCAAACGUCGACAGCUGCCGCCACGCUGGUCGACGCCGCCCACCACUCGGAGCCAGGUGACGACACGCGGAGGGAGAAGCUGAGGACAAAGAGAGAUGAGGCCAUGUCGACCCGUCGCUGCCGCCCACCACACGCGGAGGGAGAAGCCGAGGAUGAAGAGAGACACGGCCAUGUCGACCCGCUGCUGUGCACGCUGACCACCCGACGGCCCGAGAGAGGGGUGAGAGAGAGAGAGAGAGACCGAUGACCCCAGGUUGAAGAUGAUGAUGACGAACUCAGACGGGGUGGUGGUGAUGGCGGCGGUCGCCGGGGGCUCGGAGCAGAAGGGCGGAGACGACCUCCGCCUCCACCCUCGCCACUUCGCCGCCCUCCAUCGCGACAGGGGGGCAGCAAGGCGGCGCGGCAGCAGGGGGACACGGGCUCAGCCACGCCCACCGCCUGCCGCGCCCCUGGCACGCCCAUCGCCGGCCACCAACUUGUCGCUCCCAACGAUAUCUGAGACAGAGAUAGAGAGAGAUUGAGAGGAAGAGGGGAAGAGAGAGGUGGGAGAGUAUGACAGGUGGGCCCCAGCAUUUAAAAAAAAUGAUGACUAGAUUACCACGUGAACGUUAUGUAGGACAAUACCGAUUUGGAUUGGGUCGAGGGGGGUUAUUCGUCCAGUAUAGAUAUUUCAGGAUAUAAAAUGUCUGAUUUUGUGGUUCAGGGGUAAUUCAUAUUGUCGUCAUAGUUCGGGACGUAAUUUGUACUUUUUUUCUUUUUUUCUAAUUAUCCAGGUUGUUUGGAAGAUAGCAUUAAGGAUAGCCGAAUUCAUUUGGAUUGCAUCUAUGUUUUUAGAUUCCUUUGGGAUCUGCGAGCACAUAUAUUUCAAUAUUGUUCCUUUUCUAUUCCUAUCUUUCCAAAGAAUAAAUUGCACAUUAUACCAGCUUCUAUUUCUUUAUAAGUGGCCCUCGUGGAAGUAGAGAUCGAGCUUAUCGGCCACCAUGGCUAGCGCUAAAGAUGCGGAUUAGGGGCAACCAUGUGAAGGAGAGAAAGAGCUUGGGGUUCAACCUGAUUUGAAGGAAUUAUCACUAAGGUCGCGGCAUUGCGCCCAAGCUUGUGGAAGUUUGGAAGAGCAUGGCAGUGAGAUCGUCCUCAAAUAUAGGGUUCUGCCUGAUUUGGAGGAAAAAAAAACAAAAACUUUUCAACCAUCACAUCGAAUGUUUGGACACAUGCAUAGAGUAUUAAAUUUAGAAAAAAAAAACCAAUUACACAGUUUGUGUGUAAAUUACGAGACAAAUCUUUUAAGCUUAAUUGCGCCAUGAUUUGACAAUAUAGUGCUACGGUAAACAUUUACUAAUGACGGAUUAAUUAGGCUUAACAAAUCCGUCUCGCGGUUUUCUGGUGAAAUCUGUAAUUUGUUUUGUUAUUAGGCUACGUUUAAUACUUUAAAUGUGUGUUUGUAUAUCCGAUAUGAUAACCAAACCCAAAAAAAUUUCAUAAACUAAACAAGGCCUAAGGUUGUGGCAGGUAGCUUGCAAUGGUGGUCGUUGGUUGGCUUGAAAUAGUGAUGACAAAAAGGACAAAUGUAGCCUAACUAGAGACAAAGGGAUUGCAAGUUUACCUGAUUCAAAGUAAAAAAAACAUGAGAACAGGUAUGUUCUAUGUUGCAACUGUGGUAAAGAAGCCCUAGAAGCGCAGGAAGAGAACCGAUGGCAAAAUGUGUGAUGUUGUUCCUUAUAAUUGAGGGCAACGAAGAACAAAAUAGUCAUGUGAAAAAAUUAAACCAUUUACUAGGAACAAAACUCGAGAAACAUUUAGGGGUUUUCCGACUAGCUUCGCAAGGUGGUUGGCUAGACAACCUGAGUUCGAUGUCUCACCUCUUCUAAUUAUUUAAUAUUAGGUCAUGCCCUAAUAUUCACGUCUUUUUUUAUUAGUGACAAAACUUCAUGCGAAAUUUAAACAGAACAUAAUUUCUGUUUUUUAGAACUAACCAAGGUUGUCAUUAUCCCGAUUCGUAUCUAGUAUCUUACGAUAUUAUGAUCCUACCGAGACGAAACGAUACCGAUCCCACCUAGUAUCCUAAUUUUUAUAAUAUCGCGAUCCUACUAUUCAUUACUACACGAUCCUACAAAAUCUUAUAUGGUAUCCCGAUUCUACGAUCCCUACAAUACUACAAUAUUAUUUAAAAUAACAUGGUUUAAAAAAUAAUGUAACUAAAUAUACUCAAAUUUAUAUGAAAAUCAGUUCAAUAUAUCAAAACCAACGUGGUUUCUCUUGAUAAAUGUCUUUAUUUGCAUGACAUAUAUCAUUACUAUAUUUUUUAUAUAGAAUGGCUAUAUAUAAUUAAUAUAAAUAUUAAUUAAAAUUAAAAAAAAUCUCAUAGUAUCCCGAUACUACGAUACGAUCCUACGAUUCGAUAUUACUUUGAGCAAAAUGAUACUCCCACCAUCUAUUUUUGAUAGUCAUAUUUCCAAAUCUGAAAAUUUUAUUUUUGAUAGGCAUAUUUCAAUCCAACAACCUAUCAUCUUAAUGAUUUUCUCGAAUUUAAUGCGUGACUCUCCAUUCUUCCACACAUGAUUGGCUAUAUGGGCUUUGAGAAAUGUAAAUAUUAAUGAAUCGCUUGUUUACGAGGAAUGACUAGUAGCAUGCUUAAAUGAAUGAUAAGUAGAAUUACUUAUCAUUGGUCUGUGUAUCAAGAUGAAAUAUGACUAUCAAAAGUAGAUGGAGGGAGUACUACUUAGUAUCCCGAUCCUGACAACCUUGGAACUAACAUAAUUUCUGUUGAGUUACUCACAGUUAACCCAAGUGCCACUCCUUAUCAGAUGGUCUCAAUCCCAAUUAAACAAACCAACAUGAGGUAAACAUGUAAAAGCUAUACUUAAAAAAAGAAGAGAACCAUCCUAGGCAUGAUUAAUUACACUCCCUUCCAAUAGCAUCACCACUUGCAAAUCUUUCUUUUUUACCCUAAAAUAGCAUACUAUGCGCUACUUGUAGUAAAAACGCCAAACGUGCCGGUAAUCCCAUCCUCACGCGAAGUUAAGCAUUUAACCCCCUUCCAUUAAUCACGCGUCCUCUCUCAAACCCGUUUAGUACCACUCCUGUACGCGUCACGUGUCUGAAGUCUGAACACGCUUUCCCCCCUCCCAAAAAGCCUUUGACAGUUUGACCCCCCAGUUUGACGCGCCUCUCCACGCGCCGCGCCACGCCACGCCACGCCACGCCACGCCACGCCACGCCGCGCCGCGCCGUAUAUAAAACGCGCGCGCGCGCGCUCUCCUCUCAGUCUCUCACACGCAAACGCGAACACGCGAGGACAUGGACGACAUGGCCAAGCUAGCUCAGAUGCCGCGCGCUCCUCUGCUCGUCCUGCUGCUGAUGCUGGGGGUCGGCGCGGCGGUGGCCGUGCCGGAGUACAGGGAGGCGCCGCACUUCACCAACUCGGCGGCGGCGCGGUGCCCGCCGCCGCUGCCGGCGACGGACGCGGACGCGGCGUGCUCGCCGCACGCGGCGGUGCACGUGGCCAUGACGCUGGACGCGCCGUACCUGAGGGGCACCAUGGCCGCGGUGCUCUCCGUCCUCCGCCACGCCUCCUGCCCGGAGUCCGUCCACUUCCACUUCCUCGCCUCCUCCUCCUCGUCGCCGGAGGCGGCGGCGGCGGUGCGGGAGCUGAGGGACACCGUGCGGGCGUCGUUCCCGUCGCUGGCGUUCCGGGUGUACCCGUUCGACGAGUCCCGCGUCGCGGGGCUCAUCUCCACCUCCAUCCGCGGCGCGCUCGACCGCCCGCUCAACUACGCCCGCUCCUACCUCGCCACCACGCUCCCCGCCUGCGUCCGCCGCGUCGUCUACCUCGACUCCGACGUCGUGGUCACCGACGACAUCGCGGCGCUCGCCGCGACGCCGCUCCCGGGGGAGGCGGCCGUGGCGGCGCCCGAGUACUGCGGCGCCAACUUCACGGCCUACUUCACGCCGGGGUUCUGGGCGUCGCGGGCGCUGUCGGAGGCGGCGUUCGCGGGGCGGCGCGCGUGCUACUUCAACACGGGGGUGAUGGUGCUCGACCUGCCCCGGUGGCGGCGCGCGGGGUACACGGCGCAGAUCGAGGAGUGGAUGGAGCUGCAGAGACGGGUGCGCAUCUACGAGCUGGGCUCGCUGCCGCCGUUCCUCCUCGUGUUCGCCGGCCGCAUCGCCGCCGUCGACCACCGCUGGAACCAGCACGGCCUCGGCGGCGACAACUACCGGGGGCUCUGCCGCGGCCUGCACGCCGGCGCCGUCAGCCUCCUGCACUGGAGCGGCAAGGGGAAGCCAUGGGACAGGCUCGACGCCGGCAAGCCGUGCCCGCUCGACGCCGUCUGGGCCAAGUACGACCUGCUCCGGCCGGCGGCGGCGAUCGAGACCUCGUGAGAUCGACUGAGCUGCUCGCCUUUUUUUUGUUUUUUUAGAAGAAGAAAGAAUGUGUUGGUUCUUUGGUUGUUCAUAGAUCAUCAGAGAUGUUUAUGCCAAGUGUAAAUAUUGUUUAGAGGAAUGAACAGUGAUGAUGCCAACUUUUUUGAUCUAAAGUUUCGAGUUUUUAUUAGAUUUGAAUUUCUUAAGCUUUUGUGUGUGCCCUUGUGGAUGUUGUGUUCUUCGUUUGGCAUGCAUGCAUUGUUGGUUUUUAAAAAUUUUAUUUUUGUCUACAUUUCUCCUAGCUAGCUAUAUAUAUAAUGGUGCCAAUUAGUGUAAAUAAUUAAUGGUUGCUACUAUAUAUACUACGGGGCAAGGUUUGCACUCAGUUGCCUACUUUGGCCUGAUCUUUUAAUUAUGGCGAUUGUGCAUGUGUCUAUUUCAAACAUUUUUCUUGUUGUUUUCAAUCAAUUUGGCCAAUUUUUAAACACUUUAACAACGAGCUGCUCUUCCUUUAAUUAAAGCCUAUGUUCUUUUGUGCCUCCCACUAAUUUUGGGCUUGAUUAGUGGCGAAAGCUCGUUUUUAGCAUAAUGGGUGAAGAGUGAUUGUCGGAUUAACUGAUGCGACCGCGCCCAUUUGCCUUUUGUUUUAUUUUUAUGUGCUUUUUAUCUUUGUGCUCCCACGCCGAGCUAAUUAUAUUCACACACACUUUAUUAGCUAGAUAUACAAUUGGAUUUGGAACAGCAUCCAUGUGGCCACCGUGGAUUUCAGAACCAAGAAAAUAAAAAUUCCACGAACUGAGUUAGCUCGGCAUGUUAGAUUCUUUGGGGGUAGAACAUAUUCAUUGUAUUCAAUUUUUUAUAUGCCUGUUUGUAUUUAUAGCUAAUUAUUUUUCCAUCUAUUGAUAGUGAUGUACUCGUCGAUAACAAAAUGGAUGUGAUGAAUUUAUUAAUCUUAACAUAUGUUGAUUUAAUCUUGAUAAUGCUUGUAGAGACGAGUGUAUGCAUUAAUGUUGUGUUUAGAAAAUUCAAAUAAUCAGGAACCAAGAAAAUUAGAGAAAUGUGAGGUGUAAAAGGAUGGUUUGAUUCCUCUUCAAAUUAAAAAAAAUGGCUGCUUCAGUGCGUCGCCUUUUGAAUUAAUUCGGAGGGCUGUUUUACUGCAUUUGACAAAUUUUAAAUAUGCCGCUUACAAUCUUUCCAGUUGUCCUGGCCUGACAACAAUUGAACAGUUUCAGUUUGUUGCAUACAUUAAAAUUUGGAUCAAACUAUAUAAUACCUUCGUCCCAAAAUAUAACAAAAUCCAAAAAAAAAAAAUAGACUCGUCUUAUUAUUACGAAUCUAAACAGAAUAUGGCAAAAGAAGAUGAGAUUAUACAUAUUCUAUCUGUCCAGAUUUACAAUAAUAAAAUGAGAGUGACAUCCUAGAUUAUUUUAUUUUAGCAUGAAGAAAGUAUCUACAUAACCCCAUAAAAAAACCUAGUCCACUCUUUACCGAUGCAAAUCUGUACCCAAAAAUGAACAGUAUAAAGUAGCAACCAAACUUUAACUUGUGUGCCCUUUUCUCCAUUUCCUAUUCUUUUAGGCCAGUUUCUAAUUGGCGCUUAAAAAGGUUUUGUGCCCAAGCUGAUCCGGGCACUGUUCCGGGGCUUGCUUUGGACCCCCCGACAUGAUUGCGCCGUCGAUCGAGUUGGUGACAAUCCAACAAUUAAUCCAUCCGGGGGUAUGUGCAGCGAUGGCGCCGUUUCGACCGGGGCCGUGUACACCGUUAGGCCUGCACUUUUGGAGGCCAUUAUGUGCAUCUCUCAGCCUAGUAUCUAUCUAUCUAUCUAUCUAUCUAUCUUUGUAUAGCUCAUCGAUCGAUCAUCUUUUUUCCCGAUUUGAUAUUUUGAUUUGCGGUGGCAUCUCCACUCCUACUGAUCCAAUCUCCUCUCCUCCUCCCCAAGAUUGAUGUCGAUCGAUCCAUCGUUUUAUGAUCUUUUCUUCGACUUGCGCCCGGCUCAAACCUGCAAUGGAUAAUGGAUAAAAAUUAAAUACAUAUACCGAUAUACGUAACAUAAGAAAACCAUUAGCGUAUGAUUAAUUAAGUUUUAAUAUUUUUAAGCUUGAGAAUUGGAUUUAUAUGGUAUUUUAAAGCAACCUAUAUAAAAAGUUUUAAUAUGAAACAUACAGUUUAGUUUGAAGAACGUGCUAACAAGAAUCAAAUAUGUAUCUUAAUCAGAAAACAUGUAUCUUAAUCAGAAAACAACGAGACCAAAUUAGCUAAUGAUUCGCUGUUAUGGCUGCAACUAGGAGAUGGAGGGUACUCGCAUGCUGCGGAUGGCCAGCUCCCAAUGCGUGGUCACAAUAGGGGAACGAGUUUUAAUCCUUUGACAGAAUGUUCCAAGUGUGUACUCCAUUUUUGCAUAGCUUGGUCAUGUCUCAUCAGUGCUAGCCACACGCCCGCACCCCAAGUGUCACGCUCUAUGGAAAGGAUUAAUGCGACAGUUUUUCGAAAAGUAUGGAAAGGAUUUGUGCAAGUUGGGAUUUUUGUGUUUUAUACAUUGUUCUAGGUUGUUGGAAUUAAAUUUGCGCAUUCCAUCAAGACAAAUCUAUUCAUAUAAUUUUUACAUUUUCAAACUUAACAACUUAAGAGUUAUUCAUGAUUUAUAUUCCUAAGGUUUGACUUAAACAUGGUUCUAAACAAUUUCCUUUACAAGUACGAAGGAAGUAGUUUGGUUAUGCGUGCAUCUUAGUUACAGAGAGGCUAGUAGUAUUCUUAGUACGAUAUUAUAUCAUCUUAUAUAAUUGAUGGGGUUUAAUAUUUUUUAUUAUCUUAGAAAAUUAUGCCAUGGCCAAAAAAAAGCAGCAGGUAAGUUGCUUGCGUGAUGUUGGAUUUGGCUUGGGACGCUGCAGAUCCUUUGGCGAGUGGAUUAUCACUAGAUGCAGUACGUACGUACAUGCGCGGGAUCGUGCUGUUAACUUCACUAGGAUAACAAGAAGAUACACACUUCUUGCAAAAAAAGGAGAAGCAAAAGAAAAAAGUUGCUUGCAAAUAUGCACUUCGUUUUCUUUGCACUUAUAUUAAUAUUCAGUGCUGUUUUUUUUCCUUUUUUGAGAUUGAGAGAGACAUGCAAUGUUUAUUCGGUGUCACAUUGUGAGAUGUGAGAGUUCCAACUUGCAAGUUGUAAGUGCUUACGUAUUCUGUGUGAUCAGCAGAUAAGAUCCCGGUUAACGUAAAAGGAAAAGUUCACUUUUAAGUUCUUUGUCUAAGUGUUUAGUUUGAAUCGUGUCCCUUAAUAUCCUUUCUCUCUCGAAAUCAAUGCAAACGAGAUUCCAAACGGUAUUAAGGUCAGUUUCAACUCACGUGACAUCUAUAUGGUUUGUUGACUUAGUCUUUAUCCUACAAGGCAUUACAUGCGAAAAUAAAAAUAAAAUCCCUAAUUCGGGACCUACAUGUCACCGAGAUAUCCUUCAUCUACUUCUCCCUCUCUUCUUACACAUGUUGUAUUCAAGGUGGUGAGCUCAACGAGAGGUGCUCGUCGGCGUCGACGCCAACACCGGCGAUACAUCAGCCUCCUCAUGAGUUGCGUUGGAGGAGGAUCACCACCAUUGCCUGGACACAUUUCGCCCAUGUUUGAUGGGGCGCUCAUUGGCGUUGAUGUCAACAAUGACAACACAACUCAUGGCUUCCCUAUGGUGGAGGUGCAGGUGCCAGCCUAUCAGACCCCCUCUCGUCGACGUUCAAGGCAAGUGGCAGACUAUGUUGCGUGAAGCUCGUUCCCCAGCACUGCCCGUGGUGGUGGAGGGCAGCAGGCCUUAGAUCGGGCGCGCGACAGGACUCCAUUGUCCUAGAACCCCAAGCCUUGCCACUGCGGGAGGAAGGCAUGAGGUGGGGCGAGAAGGAGGAGCUUGGUGGUGGCAUCCACCUCGGUGCGCUAAACAAGCUGGAGUUGGCAACGAUGAAGGACGACACUGACGAGAGGCCAGCAUAUAAAGGAAGCGCUGCUGAGGGACUAGCGGGGAGGCCGACGAGCUUCCUCCACCUUCUCCGAACGCUAGCGCCACCAUCCUGUGUCCACUAGGCUUGUGGGUCAUGGGCUCACGGCAUGGAUUUGGGCCCAUCGACCACAGUGUGAUCCCACCACCUCCUAUCCUUGUUCCAUGAGGGCACCAACCGUGUGGGAUCUCAACAGGAACAUCGGCCCGAGAAGAGUUGUGUCACAUCAACAAUGCACCCCCACCCCAAAUCUCCAUUCCUCCUUGCCGUCGUCUGCCUCUCUUUCUCUCUCUCUCUUCACUGGGAUAAUGGGAUAAAGGGAGAGAAAAGGGGAGAGGGAGGAGGGAUCUCUAGGCUAUAUAUAAUUACCAUGUUGUACUGCGUGGAAGCUUCCACCGUCCUUGUCACCAGCAUCAGUGAUGAGCACGUUUCCCAGCCUACCGUCGUCAUCGACUCGUUCUGCUCGCUGGUGGAGAGAAAAGAUGGUAGGGGUAGAAUAGGAAGAAGUGGAUGUCAAUGGCAUGUGGGUUAUAAUCUUUUUGUUUGAUUGAUAUAUAGGCCCCACAUAUUUUUUUUUGAAACAAAUAAUUUUGUUUCCACUAUCACAUCAAUGUUACAUGGGAUAAGUGCCAAGUCAAACUGUCACCCAGGCACCAUGUCAGUAAAACCUACCUCAGUACCGCCUUAGGACCUCAUUUUCAUUGAUUUUAGGAGAUAAGAGAUGAGUUAUACCUUGGUUUUAUGGUUGAGAAACGCGAUUCAAACUCGCCGUAAAAGUGAACUUUUUUCAAUGUAAAAAGCUUCAUGUCCAGUCGCCCUGUUGGGCUGAUACUUGCCAUAUGGGUCUUCAAGAAUGUUGAUUACUAGGCCAGUCCUCGGGGACUUUCAUGGCCCUUGUUCAGGCCGAUCUAAAGCCAGAAGGCCCAUAAAAAAGACUGAAAGUUUUGACUGCUAUUUCUUUUUUUAUCCUAUAAUACUUUACAAGUGAUCCCCACUAACUCAAUUUCCUGUACUGUGGUUCAUCCACGUCAUCCAAAUCAACAGCAGCCGGAGAGUCCGAUGGGAUCACCGCGGACCCCAAAUGGGAGCCAGAAGAAGCCGGUUCUCGGCAAGGUGAAGAGCAAGGCUAAGAAAUGGAUGCACCUACUGCAUCACAAGAAGAAGCCGCAAGAGGACAUGCAGGACCCAGUGCAGACGGCAGCAGCAGCAAUGAGCACAACAAUGCAGACUACGGAUCCCCAAGCACAGCUCGACAUCCAUCCCCAUUCCUGUAUGUCUGCCAGACUUCACAAUAUUGCAUACAUUGGACAAUCUGUUAAUUGAAAUGAAAAAAAAAAAAGAAGAGCACCACCUCUUCUCCAGUUAAAUUCAGUCAAGAUAUCAAUUCCAGUAUAAUUUUGUUAUGAUGAAGAGUAAUACAUGUGUUUUCCAUGUGAAUUGUAGCGUGUGAAUCAGCAUGUGCACCUGAGGUAUACAUGGAAGCAUCACCAAGGCAAAAUUCACCACUCCCGAGCCCAACUGCACACAAUGAACAACAAUACUUCAAGAUCAGCAGCAGGUUUAAGUCAGAAAUGAAGGAAGCCAUGCUGAGGGAAUCGAAGCAGCUGCGUGUCAACACAACCAAACCGAAGACUGUAACAUUUGCGCCAAUCUUAGAACAGGGGGCAGAAACUGUAAAAAAUGAUUGGCACAGAAAAGAACUGUGGGAAACAGCAACCGAGAUAUUCAGUCAUGCAUAUGCUAUAGUCUAUGAGGCAGUCCUCAGGAUGGUCUCUAUAAUCCAAGACGCAAUGUUAUCAUAUAAUAUUGGCAGAAGGCAAAUGUUAGAGAAGAUCAUAUCGUUCAAUAGAUACCUGAUGCUGAAGCUGGCACCUGGAGAAGGUGAUAAAGUACUCUCAAAAGUCAUUACUGAGGCUGCCCUCGAUAUGUUUUAUGCCUGGUGUGUGAAUGUUGAGAGGCCUUUGGUACAGAGGGCAAAGGAAGUGUUUUCUUGGUUUCUGCCAGAAAGGAGAGAAGAGUUACCUCCAUCCUGUUGCACUGUCCACCCAUCCUUGUGUUUAUGAAGGUAAGUUUCACCAAGUAUGCAAGGGUAGUCCUAUCUGCAGAAUAUUAUUAUAGGGUUUAGCAAUAACUUGAAGCCUGUGCAAUGAAGAUGCAGAAGAAUUCUCAUUAGAGAAUUGACUACGGCUUGAAGCACGAGAUCAAGACUCUAUGAAACAACAUAAGUAGAGAGAGAUGUUUACCUUACAAUGUCCGAAGACCGGAGGCGAAGACAGAGUGUUUGCCCCAAGUAUACUUUGUUCAUAGAAUUACAUCAUACCUUACAAUGGCAGGCUGCAUGUGAAACCAAAAGGAGGUUUAUGUGGCUGUGUACCAGAAACUAAUGUACAAGAUUGCAAUCUUAAGUGUCUCUUCAGAUAAAGCUCAGUACCAGAGAUUAGAUUCACAAUCAGUGACCACAAAUUCCACAAUGUAGGCAGAACAGAAAUAUUGAAACAAAACGAAAAUCCUCCAACUGCAGAACUACAAUUACUCUGGAAAGAAGUAUAUAUUUCUUUGAACGAGCAACUAGCCCUCACAUUCUUGUCUUAUUUAUUUUGGACAUAACCAUGCCAUGAUUAGCACAAAAAGAACACACAAGUAGUUCAAACUAGAAAGUUUACCAGCUUAUAUUCAUAUUACAAAGAAAAUAAAAUACAUCUUGCUCCAAAUCACUGUUACAAACAUGCCAUCUCAGCCCUUUUAAUGGGACACCAUUCAGAAUUAUGAGUUCAGUACAUACAUUGUGUAUAUUAACAUCCGCACAUACUAUAAUGACAGCAGGCCUGUCAGUCUCUCACUGCAGCUCGUAGGACGAAAAGGUAAAUCCAGAAUCUUUCUCAUUGGUACACUUCAGUUCAAGCUUCUGAAACGGACUGUAAAUUGAGAGAGCAGGAAAUAUUUAUAUCACUUCAAUUCCUCGAUAGAAUUUAGUUGUAACAUCGCAAUAAAAAGUGCCAGCAAAAUAUACAUUACCUGCUGUUUGGAUCAUAAUAAUACCCGCUAAUGGAACCGUCGCUACAUGAAAAGCAGACAUAGUAGAAACCAGCUAUGGUCAACCCACAGUCCACUCCAACAUUGACAAAGUACUGCUCUUUCCAUCUCUACAUGUAGCAUCAGAAUAAUGCUAAGUUGUUAUGGCUUUGUAAUUCAAUAAAUGGUGCACAUACAUGAAAGGUCAGAUGGUGCAGUACCAUGAAUAUGUAAGCAUAGUUGCUGAGGUCCACGGACUUGCCACCAUCUGUCUCAAUCUGACUCUGUGGAAAAACAUAAGUGAGAAAUGUAUCCAAAAAAAUCGUGGCAACUAACAACACGAAGAUAGGCAACAGAAUACCAGAAGAGGCGUAAAUGAUGGGAACUUGGACCAGUGUCUAAUAUCAUCCUCUGGGCUGCAAAAGCAGAAGCAGGAGUAAUGUUUCAUGAGUAAGUUUGGACUGUUACCAUACACUUGGGCAUCUAUUAAUAAAACAAGUAGAUGAUAGUAUCAAGGAUAAAACGUAAAUAGUUAAAUACUCACGAUGCUUCCCACUUGCCAGUGAAAAAUGUAUAAUUUUUAGCAUCCACUAUCUCCCCCUCCCAGAACGUUACCACCUAUGGAAAUUAUUUGCAAAUUGCUAUGCAAAUCAGAUAAUGGGAACAAGAAGUAAAGCAUAGCAUAUUUUAAAAUUUUAUCGGACAAACUGUUUGCCUACUGAAUUAGUAUACAAAUGUAUUCUUAAUGAACAAUUUUGGAACAUAAAGAUCAGAGUCAAAGUGGAAAACAAAGUUGAACAAUUUUGGAACAUAAAGAUCAGAGUCAAAGUGGAAAAUGAAGUAGGUUGCUCACAGGGGUAUCAGCUAAGGGAACAUUAAGUGCUUCCAUUGUUCCACAUAAAUAACCCUGUUCAAGAUCACAGCCAUGGAUCCGCACAUUAACUUUCCAAGCUUCUUCUUUUUGUAUAUUAGAGACAUUCUGGGUUCCAGCAUAACACUGAAAGAUGGUACAAGCAUAUGGUCAGUUCCAUAAACCACACCGAUAAGAAGAUUUGAUCCUUGGUCAAGUUCCAAAUAACAACACAAAAAGACUUACUCUUCCAGCACUUAAGAGGGAACAGCUAGGAGGAGACGGAUGCCCAGCAUUUGCAUCUUGACCUGCAACAUUUUAAUCAGUAUGGCACAUUGGCAUGGUGGGCUAUCUAUUGCCAGAAAUUCAUACAAAAUAACUAAUGAAUUUCAAUUGCAGGUGAACUAAAACAACAAUUGGUUUAUUUAUUUAGAAGGCCUCCUGAAACAGAAAACACUUGACACAAAACCACAAGCAUUGCAACGCCUUAAAAACAUACAAUACAUUACAAGCAGUUGGCAACUUAGCUACAAAACCAUCCGAGCUCUCCCCAAAUAAUGCAUUGCGUCAGUGGCCAAAAUUAUAACAAUUGAGUAUUCCAAAAGGAUCAAAACACAUAUACCCCAGUACAACUCAGACCAAUCUAGAUUACCAAUAGACCUUAAAAUCGCACUAAAUCAAACCCUAGAAGAUACCUGAUUAGGCUAUAUCAGAUCCAAAAAAACUUGGAUUACACAGCAAAUUAGGGGUUGGGUGCAUUAGCAUAGAGAAGGUAGGGGAGGUGGACGAACCUGAUGAGGGCUGGGAGGAAGGGGUUGCGGUGUCUACCACCCUCACCGGCAUCCUCGGCGGCGGUCGCCGGCGACGACGAGGCUGGUUCGAUGUCUCGAGAAAAACACAAAAUACCUUAUGAAGGAUGCUCACAGGCGAGCGACGAUGCGGCGGAAGCAGGACUGCAGGAGGACCACGGGCGCCGACCUCUGCUCGCCGGAUUGGGGUGGUUCGGCACAAGCGGCGGGCGAGGAGACCGAAAUUCGAGGCCGGACGGGAUGGAUUAGGAUGCUCACCGGUGAGCGAUGAUGCGGCGGGAGCAGGAGAACGCCGGCGCCACCUCUGCUAGCAGGAUGGAGAUCGGCGCCGGCGGCAGGCGGAGGAGACGGGAGUCGUCGACGGCGGCGGGCGACGAGACGGGAUGGAUUGGGGAGGCGGAGGUCGAUUGUGCAGCGCUCUGCUGCCGCAGUGCCCGCUUGCCUAUGGGUCAUAUCAUAUGCACAGGCCCAUGAGGCUGGAAAUUUUUCAUCUCGGAAGAAGUUCACCUAAGGUCCCUUAUCUUGUCGUCGAGUUUUAAAACUGUCCCUAACCGGAAGACCAGAUGUAAUGUAUCCCUAAUAUUGUAAAACGGGUCACAUUUGAUCUCAAGGUAUGCUCUCCGGUUUUGUUAACGUGACGGCUGAGUCAGUAUGGUACCCACGUGGACACCACAUGUCAGCCGGCAAUUUUCUUCCACCUCACUCCCCUUUCUUCCCAUCUCAACCCAAACCUCUAGGGCAGCCGUGAAUCGGUGGGGAGAAUGGUGUUAGCCGGUGGGGAAAAGCUCCCAACGGCCUGGAGCGCUCGCGUCAUGGACUUGUGCACGCGUGGUACGGGCAGGUCCCAACUACAACAGCAACGUCGUCUUCACCUAUGUGCGCGAGGGCUAGGGCUUCCGCCUCGUCACGCUGGCCAAGCUCCUAUCCCUCGAGCUCAGGGCCAUCCCUGCUGAGCUACUCAAAAGUCGAUGUGUUCAGGUGUCCCCGAGCUCUGCCUCUCCUCCGCGGAGGAGCACGCGCGGCUCCGCCGCAUCAUCUUCGAGAUCAACUCCAUUUACACCACGAUGUGGUUACAUCAUCCUCGAUGCCUACGCCCUUCUCCCUGUCGCCCGCCACUAUCAAGCUUCUCGACAGCUGCCAGCCUUCUCCCCGCCCAUCGUUGGUCGUCGCUGUCGAGCUUCUACCUACCGCCGCCGGCCACCGAGUAGCUCUCCCUUGAUUCAACAUUCGACGUCCUCUUCAUGUGCACGCACGGACACUCAUGGAGCCGGUGGUGCUCGUGACCGUGCUCAGGCAUCUCAAUGUACUCCAUCUCCCGUCUCUUAGGAGAUCCUCUCACCAAUCCCGAUGGUGUGGCUGACACGUGACCAAGACGCAGAUGCGCGCGAGCUGCCGCACAACGGCGUGGCGGUGUGCCCUGAGGGGACGACGUGCCGGGAGCCCUUCCUACUUCGCUUCUCCGCACUCUUCACCGAGCUCGGCCGCUCUUUGCACGCGCAUGUGCAUGACGCGGCCGUUAGCCACCACUUUUCUCCUCACAUGUUGCCGGCUGCCCUGGAGUUUUGGGUUGAGAUGGGAAGAGACAGGAGAUAGGUGGAAGAAGAUUAUCGGCUAACAUGUGGGGCCCAUAUUGGCCCACGCUGACUCAAUCGUCCACGUCACCAAAACCGAGGAGCAAUGUUUCCUUGGGACCUAACUUGACCUAGUUUUGCAAAAUCAGGGAUGCUUUAUAUUAGUAUUUCGGUUUAGGGUGUAGGAUCGAGAUUUCGACUAGAGGGGGUGCAUAGGCGAUUUAAAACUAAAUGACACCUAAUCAAAACUAACCUAAGUUACUAGGCUCGGUGAGGGUCAAGUCUAACUAAGCAACUAAGUUAUGUUUUACAAACCUAGGGUGAUAGUGGCUCAAUUAUAUCUCUAGGAAAGUAAAUUACACUCCUAAGUUCAGUUUAGCAAUCCUAGGGUGAUAUGAUCUCAAGUAUGUCUCUAUCAAUGUAAAUUGCACAAAUAUAAAUGCGAUAAAUAAAUGAGACAAGGAGACAAGAGAUUUUUCACCGAGGUUCGGAAACUCGCCGCUUUCCUAAUCCCCGUUGAGGCAAGCCCAACUCCACCGCUCAAUCACGAAGCCACCCCACGUCCCCUUCGUCAAGGGGUGGGCAAGGCGGGAGCUGACCCACUGUUGAUGGUCGUUAGCGAUCAGUUUCGACCGUCAAUAUUACCAAAAUAGAGGAGAACUAGUUAUUCUUGCAAUGCAUAUUCAAUUUAGAAUAAUAAUAUUCCAUUAGUAUUAUGUUUACUAACCUUUUUGCAGAGAAUAACCAUAAAGUGAAGGAGAAUUGACAUCGAAUCAGACAAUAAAUCAAUUGAACGAUGUCGAAAACCAGACUUAUGUAUGAAUGUGCCAAGAACUCAGAAAUGAUACGACCAAUUGGGCCAAAAAUUCACAAGUCUACGGAGAGAAGCAGUGGAGGAGGUCGCCAGCCAAGGAUGGGCUGGUUUGGCCUAGCCCCUGGUGGUUCGGCCGAACCCCCAUUAGUGCCGUCCAUCUUGGGGUUUUGUGUGGACGUCCAGGAUUCAUCCCCAUGAACGGUUGCAGGGCAAUUAGGACAUUUCCAACUGCCACAACCGUCAUUAGCAGCUAUAAAAGGACUUUACCUCCUCACUCUCUUCACACACCUCAAGCAAAGCUCUUUCAUAUUCUCUAAAGUUUAGUUUAGUGUUCUUAAGCUAAUGGAAUAGGAAUAGAGUAGAAAUCAAAGUCCAGAAGACUUCAGAAGAGCUCUCUUCACACACCUCAAGCAAAACUCUUUCAUAUUCUCUAAAGUUUAGUUUAGUGUUCUUAAGCUAAUGGAAUAGGAAUAGAGUAGAAAUCAAAGUCCAGAAGACUUCAGAAGAGCUUGGGUAUGGCUCUAGUAGCUCUUCUCUUCUCUUUUGUAAGCUUUAUACUUUAUUUAGAAUACUCUUCUUUAUACAUUUCUGAUAUUGAAAUACUUUCCAAGUAUACAGCAACAGGUAGACUUUUUUAUGAGAAGACGUGCGGGGGGACGAGGUUCAUCAUGGCAGCAGGAUCCCGUUUUUCCCCUUUUUUUUAUGAGGUGCGCAUGAUCCAUUUCUCUAAUCGAUACGCUACGAAACAGAACCGUUAUAUAUAGCCGUACGCCCAAUUCUCACUAACUUGACUUAAUUAAUUGCAACAGGGUUUGAUUAUACAAACACAAAUCUAAUUUUAGUCAACAAUACUGCGCUCAUCAUGGUUGUACUGAUUCCAACAAAACACCUGUUCAAUCACACAUCCACAUAUUCAGUUCAAACUGAUUCAAACAUGUGCUCGUCAUGGUUGGACUCUUCUGAAGAAUGAUUAACCCAAAGCAGCUAUGCUGCUGUUCCUCAGAUUGACUUAAACACAGUAUAGCUCACCAUACACAUGCAAACAUUCAGGCUGUGUUCGGUAUCACGAGUUCCCAACUCUCUCUUCUCGUUUUCCACGUGCACGUUUUUCAAACUACUAAACGGUGUGUUUUUUGCAAAAAAAAAAUUAUAUACGAAAGUUGCUUAAAAAUCAUAUUGAUGCAUUUUUUUAAAAAAAUUAGCUAAUACUUAAUUAAUCACGCGCUAAUGGACUGCUCCGUUUUCCAUGCGUGGGUGAUAGAUUCCCAACACCCACCACUGAACACAGCCAGAGUCGACAUCCUUACAGUGUUUAUUGGACCAAGCCAUGCUGGAUAUUUUGGGUGAAAAAUCAACAUGCAGCCAGCAGCACAUCUCUAAGACUUGGAGACCAUAUCAAGUUCAACAGGAACGCGCCAAUGAACCAGGCGAAAAGGGCAACAAUGAAGCAGAUGGUGAUCCCUCAGUGGAACGGUGAGAACCAGAAACAACAGAGCCCGAGUGUGUAGAAGGCAAAGCAACUGAACCAACUGAACCAGUCGAAGCAGAGGCAGUGAGGCGACGUAGCAACGUAAGGUUCUCCUAUGUAUCUGAGCUUCCAGUACACUCCUCUAAGAAGAACUACCAGUACUCUUCGGAGUACUCUUCGGAGAAGAACCUCUGGUAACCUGUGAAGAACGACCACGUCGCAAAUCCUUCUUCCAAAAGCAAAACGAUUCCACAUGUCCAUCCUUAUCAUAAUAAGUGUAAUAAAGAUGACUACUGGUAGAUAGCACAACUGGUGAAGAAGUACGUGAUGGCAAAGUAAAGGAAGCGGCUGUCGGUGAUGAAGGUACCGAAGCUGUAGUACGAACAGCCAGAAGGAAGCACUAGAGCACCCGCUUCACGAAGACGAAUCUCCGGAAGAGCUUCCAUCAAAGUAACACGAGGGUGUCGAGCAAGCAACUGUGCACGAGUCGAUUCAUACUCGGAGCGAAGACGAGUGAGAAAGUCAUAGAUGCGACGAAGAUCCAUGUGAGAACGCUGACGCUGACAACACUUACAGGUACGACAAACAUCAGGGACCAAAGAAUCAAGCUGGCACCAAAUAGAGGAUAGCUGUGUAGUCUGUGUAUAGAACUCAUCCACUAAAGCAUCCCUCUGCUGUAAAGACUGCUCUUGACGCACCAUAGCAAGAUAAAGAGCAUCACCGAUAGACACAUAACGAUCACGAAGGUGUGUCCACACAAGAUGAGCAGAAGCAAGGAUGACCACAUCGCCAGUAAGAUGAACCUCCAUACUAGCCACAAGAAUAGCAGAAGCACGAGCAUCCUCAUCUAACCAAGCCUUGUACAUAGCAUAUUGACUCUGAUAAGUCUCCAUAACAUCAGCAUAAGUCUUUCGCACCUUUGCUCUGUCCUCAUCAGUAGGCUAACCCGAAAGAACAGGCAGAAGGAACCUCGGGGCAAGCCAGAAAAAGUAGCUCACCAGAAAUAACAUCCCAAAGACGCUGACCACGCAUGUGAAGACGCAUAUGCUGAGUCCAAUGAUUAUAGUUGACACCAUCAAAAAUAACCGGGCAACAAGAAACUGAAACUAUGUCCGACAAAGAUGACAUCAUCAAAGAGCAAUGGCUGACGACGAGAGCGCAAAAGUAAAGCGGCGGUAGCAAGCAGAGAAGCGGGAAAUUCUUUCUUUUCUUUCUUUUUCCUUUUCUUUUCUUUUUUUAUAGCCUCGGUCACAGAAAAGAUCAGGAGAGGCGGCUAUGUUUUUUCUGUUUUGUUUUUUUAAGCCUCGGUCACAGAAAAGACUAGGAGAGGCGUGGGUGUUGCUAAUGCGCGCCCUCAUUCCCCUCCCCCCUAUGCGCUUUCUCCCCUUCCUCCUCCCCUCCUUCUCUUCCUAUACAGUACACCACAAAAAAUAAAAAGAAAAAAAUAAAGUUAGAAAAAAUUUAUGUAUAGAAAUACUAUAAAAAAUAUUUGAAUUCAAAUUCAAAUUUGAAACGGGUAUGUAAACUUUUGACUUAUAAACUUUGGGUCUAUAAACUAAUAUUAGAAUUUAAAUUUAAAUUUGAAACGGGUAUGUAAACUUUUGACUUAUAAACUUUAGAUCUAUAAACUAAUAUUUGAAUUCAAAUUCAAAUUUGAAUCGGUUAUGUAAACUUUUCACUUAUAAACUUUGGGUCUAUAAACUUUAGACUUUAGGUUAUAAACUUUAGAUGCAUAGAAAUACUAUAUAUAUAAAAAAUAUUUGAAUUCAAAUUCAAAUUUGAAUCAGAUAUAAUUCAAAUUCAAAUUUGAAACGGGUAUAUAAACUUUUGACUUAUAAACUUUAGGUAUAUAAAUUUUAGGUGUAUAAACUUUAGAUGUAUAGAAAUACUAUAUAUAAAAAUAUUUGAAUUCAAAAUUAAAUUUGAAUCAGAUAUAUAAACUUUUGACUUAUAAAUUUUUAGUCUCUAAAAUAGAACUUUUAGAACUUUAGGUGCAUUUCACUAAAAUAGAAAAUAGAAAAGUAAUACGGUGGAAAAAAAAAACCAGGUGGAGGGUGCGGGGACCGCGCCAGGCCAGGAAGCGAUCGCCCGCCGCCCGCCCUUAGCCUUUCCGGAGAGGCGUGGCUUUUAUUUUUUUUAAGGAUCUUAUCCAGAUCGGUCAAAAGAAGAAAAAAAAUGAAAACGAAACGUCGAAGGCUCGAAGCCGUACAGAUCGAAGCCGCGCACGAAGGCGAGCAGCCGCGAACUUGCGCAGCCGGUGGCGAGUGGCUGCCGACGACGGGCGACGGCCAGCGGCCCUCGGCGACGGGCAACGACCAGCGACAGCCGGCGACGAGCCCCCGCCCCCACGAGGCCCCGACGGCCAGCAACGGCUGGCGACGGGCGGCCGGCGACGACGAGCGACGGUAGCAGCAGAGCUAGCCACGGACGGCGGCUGUGACGAGCAACGCCGACAAUGAGGCAGCAACAGUAACCCAGGUACUCGAUAGAAAAAUCGAUGCACGGAAGUGCCGAAAAAAUUGGAUCAUCUAAGGCAAGAGGAGUCUAACCCUAGUUUGGCUCUUGAUACCAUGCUGUGAAUAGCACUUGUAUUCAUCCCAGGGCAAAGGCCCAAAUAUGUGCAUACAUGUACAGGUGCAUACAAAUAUGCAGAAAACCCCUUUACAAAUAAAGAAAUAUAACCGAAACUGACAUCUAACACAGCCAUCCAAUUACUAGCACUCAGCUUGAUGCUAUUGGAGUAUUAAUUGAAGGAAGAGGAGUGUAAUUACUUACCUGAAAAAAAAAAGAAACAUAAACUAAUUAACCCUUGUAUGUUUUCAAUGAUGAAAUCUGAAACGAAUUCCAUUCAAACCUAUUAAUAACAAGAAAGGAUAAAAUAGAACAAUGGAUGCAUAUGAGACUGCCAACAUACAUCUAAUUUUACCAAGACCAACUAGAAUGGCAAAAAUUUCUGGAGUUACAGAUUAUCAACAUAUAUAAAGGUAGCGAAAUGAAGCAUGACUUUUAGAAGUAGCAUAUGGUCCGCCAAAUGAAAUUGUAGGAGUUACAGACUUACACAGAAAUCUCGAUAUUCCACAACAAUAGUAGCAUAUGGUCUGCCAAUCCUAACUUUUAGGAUGUACCUGCAAGCAUUACACACGACUUUUUGGAAUAGGUAGUUCCUUCCCCUAGAACCGUACUUGAGAGUUUCCUACCUCAUACGGCUCAGAAAUUGCUAUCUUAAUUUCCCUUGUCUUAACUGAAUUCGAUUUCUCAAAAAUCGAUCCAAUUUCUUCUUGGGUUACGCAGAAGAAGUUAAUUACCUAAGUUUCAAACCCUAAAUUUUGAUCAAUAAUCAGUUUGAUCUUUUCAAGCGCAUCUCUGUAUCGACAAAAUAACUCUAUCUAAGGGUGACGUCGGUGGAACCGGUGAACCACGCGAGCUGGUUAGAUGCGUGGGGCAGAGGGCUCGUAGUACCCCCUUUUCUUGAUCCAGCCUUUUCUUCGCUUCGGUAGUUAAGAACCUAAAAUCCAAGGGGGGCUGAUCUUUAAGAUAGUGUUAUUAAAGUCGUCGAUGCUACAAGUCAUGCAAGCUGUUCUUGUUAUGACCUGUGCAAUGCAUAACGGAAGCAUCUUGGCCUUCUUACCUCAAUCUGACAUUUGUUCCGUUAUACGAAUCAUAAGGCAUCUCAACAGUAGAGAACUCAAAUGGAUAAGUCUUCCUUUCAUAGAUUUCACCAGCGACAUCUAAUUCUCGCACUACACAGACAAAAAAAAGGAGAAAAAUACUUAAGAUACUGAACAGCUUUACUGGCUUACAACUGAACAGCAAGCUCUAAGUCAUAUUCCAUUAUUUGUAGAUAGGAAAGUUUUCAGAGGGUUCAAUUUUCCUGCUAAACUUGCAAGAUAGUGCUCUUGGGGUCAAUCAACAAUGUAAAGCAUCAAAAUUUAUCAAGAUAUGAAGAGUGCAAAGAACCUGAAGGGAACAAUGACAUACAAGAAGAGAUGCAAAAAGAUCAAGACUACCUUAAUAGAGAGCUCUUUUUCCUUGACUCUUCAAAAUCACUUGAGAGAGCUACCUAACGAAGUGAAGUCAUAGAAGUGGCCUCUCUCAUGGUACAGCUCUGCAAUAUAAAAGAUCACAGGUAAUAAUAAUGUUAGAACUUGGAAGUACCUGAACUAUUGAAGAUCAAUGCUGCUGAUAAUGGUAGAAGAAAAGAAGUGCUCAUGUGAGUACUUUUUCCAGUUUCUCAAGCAAUUAAAUCCUAUACUUUAUCAUGGUUAUGAGAAUUUGAAACAACAUUGGCUGGGUAAAUACUCUAAUGAAUUUUCAGCGGAACAAAGAACCUGUCCGUUCACAUUUGUUUGUCUACAAACAAAUCACAUUUUCAGCAACCUGAACUAACAUGUCUUAUAAUACACCACCAAUUUGAUGCAGUCACCAUAGGCAUUAGGGCACUCAUAUUCAGAAUCUACCAGAUCAAGGGCGCAUAUCAUACCUAUCUGACCCAGAAGCUCAAUCUUGACACCUUGGUGCUCAACCCUUUUACCUGGAAUGGGCGCUAUCGACACCUGCAAAUCAAUUCAAUCACAAUCACACACACUCCCAUCUCCAACACCAGAACACACACCACCCAAGCAGACAGUGUGGCACUACCUCUCCUGCAAUCGUCUCCAGGCUCUGGAAGGCCAGGACCAUCCUAUUCUAUCAUCAAGCUGUAAUUUCAGGACAAAACAGAAACACAUCACCCGCGAAUACUUCUCAAUUGGAUACUUGGAAGGACAGAAUCACUCCAAGAUCAGUUCUAAUAAAUAGGCAGUAUCUAGCACACCUAAACAAACAUGAAGUAAGCUCAAAAUAUAGAAGAACACAGAAGCAUUUUGGUUAGUUCAAGGUCAUAUAAAAAUCUGGUGCUCUGUCUUCACAUGAAAGAAAUGGAUAGCCAACUGCAGACCAGACCAUUGAGCUUCAAGCAAAGAAGAUAACCAGUACAUAGUGGCAUAGUGCAGUGUGGAUUUAUGCUUUCUACUAUAGGUUUUCUGGUAUUGCAUUAGGAACCUUAAUCAAAAUUGGCAUCAGUUCACAAAUAGUGAUAUUGAGUUAUCAAUCUCCGACCAAAAACAUUAAGAGAACCUAAGUAUGUUAUAUCUCUUUGUCAAAACUGAGAAACAUCCAUUAACAGAGAAUAUUAAGAAGAAACAUCCAUUAACAUUAAGAAAUAUUACUAGCGGCCUCCUUAUUUCAUAUGUAUAAUAUAAAGAACCAACUACCGUGGUUAGUUUGAGAUUCUUGUUAGUUUUCAGCUUCCCUGACACAAGUCCAGUAUUCCAUUAAUGAAAUGACCUAUGGAAGAUACAGUUCCAAAGAGUAUUCACCCUCCAGCUAUUGAAGAGACCCAUGCAACUAGAUGAAUACACAACCACAAGUACAGGAAACCAUUCUUAGUUUUAGGCUUUUAGCAUUUAUGUUUACUGGUAAUAUCUUAAUUUUAUUUCCAAAUUUCAAGUUUGAACAACACAUAUGUCAGCAAUGUAACAGGACAAAUCAAGAACAUAACAAAAAAAAAAAAUCCUUCGUACUAACCAGACUUUCUAGCCCCAAGUGUUACGAAAUUAUCUUCAAAAUUUGUAAGGAGAAAAAAAAUGAACUAGAUAUACUGUAAGAACUGUUGUAGAGUUAUUGGUUGGCACAGACAGGUAGUUCUACUUAGAACACGUAUCACUUGGUCCUUCCUCACAUAACACAAUGCAUUGACAAGUAAUGCAUUGGAAGGGACAGGUUUGAAGAGCUAGGAAAAGCAAGAUGUGAACAAAAAACAUGGAACAAACUUUAGAUCAGAGAAAUGAAAAAAAAACAAUAGCCAAUCUCUCAACUAGUACUACCAUGGAAAGUGAAUUCAACACAUUCAUGAUAAUUUAGGUAUUGAAAUAAUAGACUAAAGAUGUUAUAUACUGUUCACUCAACUAUUGUGUUCCACCCAUCAGCAGAAUGCUGUAACCUAUUAAACGCCACAAAAUCAAUUAGCCACUCAACUACUGUGUUCCAACCAUCGCAAAAGCUUACAAAAUCUCCAUCACCCAUCAUGGCAGAAUGAAGCAUAAGCAACAACGAUAUUAGCAAUACACGCAAGGUCACCUUCACAAGAAACUAAGGGGCAACUAUACAAGGGAAAUCUAUAAAUCACACUAAUUAAACAACUAUAUCACAAACAUUACAAGCAAACAAGGAAAACUGAACUUAGAAACCUAUCUUGCAAAACCCCUAAAAGUACAUGUAUCAAUCAGACUGUCUGUGAAACUAAUAGAAUAAACAAACCUUGACAAUUCCACAUUAUGAAGGAUUAGUAUUCACUAUGUACCUGCAUAUGUGCUGCAAAGUCAUGGAGGCAUAAGCUAGCACCCCAGAACAAUUGGGUUACAUUCUCCUCGACUUCUCGUCUCCUCGCUGUUGCCUUGCCGCCGAUGUGCCGUGCGACUGCGAGGAAGGCAGCAGCAAGGCUCCGGAGGGGCCUGCGACGGACGGGGGAGUUGGUCUCGGGUUUGCCCCCAGAUCUGGUGGCGCGCCAACGCCGGAGACGAUGGGGCCGUGGGCAGGGGUGGGGGGCUUGCGCCUGGCCGCGCGUGGUAGCAAAGGUGGUCAGGAGAACGGCGCCGCGGCUGGUAGCGGCGAGCCGUCUGCGGUGGCGUUUCUUCGGGAGGCGGUGGGCACUGUGGAGGAUGCUGGCGGCAGGCGCGAUGGAGGUCUGUGGCGGCGGAUGUGGCAGAGGACAGCGAUGACCUAAGCGUCGACAACCAGCCCUCGGCAGGGAGAAGGCGGAUCCGACGGAGGUGGCUUCGUAGGUAGCAGCGACCCUAGGAGUGGCGGUUGACCUGCGAGUCCAGGCAGAAGAGAAGACCUCCUCGGUUGUGGUGGUGAUGAACCCUGAAUUCCUCUCGAAACUCAAGGCUGUUGUUGGCCCGAUCUUUCGGUGAGUUGUGAUAACUACGACUUGGAAGAAACGUUGACGAUCCGACUACAACCGUACUAGACGUUGUGUUGCGCCUUAGCGAUCGAUACACCUCUCCGUGAGUUGUUGAUCUUGCCGGUGCAGAUCAACCUUAUUCCUGCAAGCAAAUCGAAGAAACAAGCAAGAACAAGAUAAAAGCAAUAUGAAUUGCAAAUAGGAAUUGAGCACAAAUGAUAAGUUGGGGUUUCGAAUACAAGCAGACGGACGGUCUAGCCGACACGCGCGCUGCAAGGAAGUAGCAAUGGCUAAACUUUCAUCUAAACAAAACCUGAGAUACCCUGAAGGGGUACCAAGCUAUUUAUGGAGAUAGGAGGACCCUAGAUCGUCCUCCACCUGAUUGGGGCACACCCCACAUGGGCCCCACUUGGGCCGGGGUCCCAGACGAAGUUACAAGCCCACAGGCCCAUUACAGGUGUCGCAACACCUUGUUUCUUCAGUUGCUACCGACUGAGAUGGAAUUUGGCAAUAAGACUUGAUGCAUUGGAAAGAGGACUCCGAAAGCUUUCCAUCAAGUACUCACGGGCUGAAAACGGAGGUCGUAUGGAGAUUCGGCGGCCGUUUGAAGUCAGCAGUGUAGUAGGUGGCCGAAUCGGAUUCCAGCACUUGGGGGACUUGAACUUGAUAUCUUGUUCAUCCAUGAUGUGAGCAACGGAUGUAUCCGUAGUAGCCAUGGUCACAUCAUCCUCCCCUUCUUCACAGAAAACCGUCCUCGGUUUUUCCAUAUGGUGCUCUUUGCGUAGUCCAUUUACAGCAACCUGUUUCUUCCAAUUAAAACAAGGCAAACUCGAGACAAUUUGGUUAGCAAUAACAUUUCUCUCUAGCUUGUAUGUUUUAUCCACAUGUACAGGAAGUUCUAAAUCCGAGCAGAUGUAAAGUCUAUGCACAAAAUAUAUUCCAAGAUCAUUAUAUUCGCCAAAGAUGUGAAAUAUAACAUUGGUUGGACAUGGCAAAUCAAAAUGAGCAAAUAUUUUGUCCUUCAAACAAUUGAGCUCACAAGAAUCAUCAAACAGAAUAUAGCCCAAUGUAUUUAAAGAAGAUUGCAAUUGAAGUUCAUCAUUCUCGCUGGACGUGUGAAUAACAUGCUUAAAUUAAAUUCAGUACAUGGAGAAUCAAGAUUAAACGUAGCAUGUUCAUUCACUAGUUGUGGAAUGGAUAUAAGUGAAAUACUAUCAUACAACUCUUCUUUAUCACAAGGAAUAGAAUGCAAAUCAACUUGUGACAAAGGCAAUUCAGAAGUAGGUUCCACUAAAGUUUGCUCUAGGUCAGCAUGGAAAGUGGAAAAAUGUAAUUCAUCAGAAGCAUACUCACUUGAGUAAUUUUUGCACCAUUUAAUUUACCUUUUAUGCCCUCUUCAGAUAAUGUAGGUGCAUCAGCCUUCUCCUCAUUCGCGAGUGAUGGAAGUGACAUCUCAAACAUAUCGUUCUCAUUUUGGGGACUGUUCUAAACUUCCUGCAAAACAUUAGUGACAGGAGGCACAAGCAUAGCUUGUUGCUCCGUUGGGUUGUCCAAAAUUUUGCGCUCAACAUUGCAAGCAAGCAUGAACAAUUGGCCUAUAUGAUUAUAUGUCACAUUAACAAGCCCAGCUUGAAUAUUGGAAUUAAGCCCUCUGAAAAAUCUAGUCAUUGUGUUCUCAUUAGAUUCUUGUAAAUCACUAUAAGUGAUACAAAUUUUAAAAUCAUGAAAGUACUCCCUAACAGUUUUGUCACCUUGUUUUAGAUGUUCUAAUUUCUCAAGGAGAGUACGUUUAUAAUAUGAAAACACAAAAUUUUUUCUCAUCAUUGUUUUGCAUUCAUCCCAAGUUUCAAGCUUAUGGCCAAUAGUAUACCACCAAAAAGAUGCAGAACCGGUACACUUAUUAAUAGCAGCCUUAAUCAUUUGAGCAUUAGAGAAAUCAUACUCAUCAAAUUGUUUGUCUACUGCUAGCUCCCAAUUAACAUAAGCGGCGGAAUCAUACUUACCAUCAAAAACUGGCAAUUUAGAUUCUACCAUUGCAAGAUCAUUUUCAUGUACCUCGUAUGCAAUGCGUGAAAAAGUCGCUAUAUCUCGUUGAUGGUGAAGAAGUCGAGGUUGAGCAUAACCAUCUCGUUUCCCCUUGUGCAAUCCUGCCAUGGUUAGUAGCAAACAAGAAACAUACACAAGAAUAUACACGCUCCUAUCAACUACUAGGUAGUGGCAGCUGAAAUAUUACACACACUCAAGCUUUUCACCAAGCUCUUACAAGUUCUUACCAAAGCAAGCGGAAUGUUAAUGUACACUGACUCAACCAAGCACCCCAAUGGAGUUUAGAUGUAUCGAUGCCUUGGCAAACAUUUACUGUACGGCUGCAAUCAAAUCUGUGGAGCUCUGGGUAGGCUUAAAUAUGUAGCAAAGGAAUAGCAAAUGCUCAAAGCAAAGAAUGCAAAGUUGAAUAAUUGUUCAAAGUCAAGUACCGAGCUGGUCCUAGGCUAGAACGUACUAGAGACGCGAGCCUAGACACAAACGAUACCACAAGAUAGCACUAGAAACAACUCAUGCAUGCUCUGAUAUAUAAAAGAAAUCUCAAUGAUACAACUGAUUUUCUCUUUUCUUUUUCUUCUUUAUUUUUCUUUUUUUUUCUUUUUUUCCUUUCUCUUUUUUUUGGUGCGGCUUUUGUUUUCUCUUUUUUUAGCACCUUUCUGCCUUUUUUUUUAUUUUUUUUGAUUUUUUUUACCAAAAACCGACUCAAGGACCUCAAUGUAAGGUCAAAGGGACUCAAAUGUAAAUAUGAAAAUUACAGGGACUCAACUGUAAAAGUCCAAACCAAAAUUAAAAAUUAUACAAAAAUGGAAUGCUCAAGUUAUGUCGGUUCCGUUUUUGCAAACGGAUCUUGAAUCCGACACCAAAAUAAAAUUUCACCGAAGUGUUUAACCAACCCAGACAGAAACAAUCAUGAGGGAGUGUGAAUCGGACUCACAAGUCUCGGCCACGAGAUGACGCAAGGGAAGGAAUCCCACUCGGCCUCGGUUUGGAAAGGUACCAGGUGAUAAAUAGAAACAUACUCGACACUAAAUAGAAACCAAACCAGUCAAUCUAAUCUAAUAUUCUCCUUCCAUCUUUCUCACGCGCACAUGCACAAGCGCACCAUCACGGCACAGCCACCAAACAGAAGCUAUGCAACUCAAGAACUCAAAAACUAACCGACAGAAACUUCUGAAAACUACGAAAAAAGAACCGUGGCAGCGAGCCGAUUCCGUUUUCGUAGAUCCCGACGACAACAGAGACACGGGGGCGGCGACGACUAUGGUCCAAAACGUGACCAGAACUCGAAACUCUAAAUGAACUAGACGCUAAUACCAGCAACACGACUCGACAAUGCAACACAAAACUCAACAACGCAAAAACUGAAAAGAACAAUGCAAAGGCACAAAGAUGGCUAGGUAUAGGAUACAAUUUUUUUUGUUGGGAAAUUUUCUGGUUAUAGGUAGAUAAAAACUCACCGAGCAACGAAAGCUCUGAUACCACCUGAUAAACCCUGAAUUCCUCUCGAAACUCAAGGCUGUUGUUGGCCCAAUCUUUCGGUGAGUUGUGAUAACUACAAUUUGGAAGAAACGUUGACGAUCCGACUACAACCGUACUAGACGUUGUGUUGCGCCUUAGCGAUCGAUACACCUCUCCGUGGGUUGUUGAUCUUGCCGGUGCAGAUUAACCUUAUUCCUGCAAGCAAAUCGAAGAAACAAGCAAGAACAAGAUAAAAGCAAUAUGAAUUGCAAAUAGGAAUUGAGCACAAAUGAUAAGUUGGGGUUUCGAAUACAAGCAGACGGACGGUCUAGCCGACACGCGCGCUGCAAGGAAGUAGCAAUGGCUAAACUUUCAUCUAAACAAAACCCGAGAUACCCUGAAGGGGUACCAAGCUAUUUAUGGAGAUAGGAGGACCCUAGGUCGUCCUCCACUUGAUUGGGGCACACCCCACAUGGGCCCCACUUAGGCCGGGGUCCCAGACGAAGUUACAAGCCCAUAGGCCUUUUACAGGUGUCGCAGCACCUUGUUUCUUUAGUUGCUGCCGACUGAGAUGGAAUUUGGCAAUGAGGCUUGAUGCAUUGGAAAGAGGACUCCGAGAGCUUUCCAUCAAGUACUCACGGGCCGAAAACGGAGGUCGUAUGGAGAUUCGGCAGCCGUUUGAAGUCAGUCGUGUAGUAGAUGGCCGAAUCGGAUUCCAGCACUUGGAGGACUUGAACUUGAUAUCUUGUUGUUCAUCCAUGAUGUGAGUAACGGAUGUAUCCGUAAUAGCCAUGGUCACAUCAGGUGGCCAAUGGCCCGAGACGACGGCGGCCUGAGUGCCAGUGCAAGGAUCUUGACGAGUAGGAGGCACAUAAGGCGAAGGCAGAUCCCGUCGGCGGCAGAGGCCUAGGAGUCUGAGAGGCAGAGGUGGAUUCCGACGUUGGAGGCGGAGGCCUAGGAAUCCGGUGAAGUGGAAGCGGAUACUUUCGGCUUGCGUCUGGUCGGUUAGUUCUGAUUGGACGAUGAUGGAUGAAGGUGGGCUUACCGGCGGAGCGUGGCAUCAACUCACUUGAAGCGGAUGAAGAUGACACCACCGGAGUUUUGUAGCUACAAUGCACUAGGGGCGGUGAUAACUAGACGACCUCCACUCGUCAAAUAUGGCCGUUUCAUAUGAGAAUGUCAAGAAGCAGGGAUGUGUUGAGAUCGUAGGUUUUUUUUGUGCGUGUUCUCCUCUUUAACGAGGUGUGAGUCUAAGUGCUCUUGUAUCAUUUGGCUGUGUAUAUCCCUCGUGGAUAUAGAGGCCGGAUUAAUGAAAAUCCAUUAUCUAUUAAAAAAAAAGAUAGCACCCCAGAAGCCCAGUUACUCGUAGGGGAUCUUUUCUGCACCUCCGGCAGAUAUCAUGUUAGUAGGAACCUGCAAAACAAAUCAUCUAAAAGAAACUACUGGAAAAUUGCUAAAGCGAAUCAUAGAAAUUUUUUUGAGUAAAUUUCACAUUGGACCACCAUUACUUACCAAUGUUGUGGCUUGGACCAGGCAUGAGCGUUUCUUUUCACUUUGGACCGAAUGUAUUAACCAAAUAUUCCAUUUGGACUGGUUCUUCUUCCUUUGGUUGUCCUCCCUUUUCUGUUUUGUGAUGUGCAACCUUGCAGUACCCGUGAACUUGGCCUCCAUGCUCUCUGUGCUCAAGCUAACAAAUUUACUGCUAGAGCCAACCGGAGCUAGCGGCGUUGAGAAAAAUGUGAGAAAAAUGUGAAUGCAAGUGGAACGAAAGGAGGUGCUUGUGCUCCUGGACCCGGACAAGGCAGAGUGUUGGAGGUUGAGACCAUCAAGAUCAAGGAGAGGAAAAAACCAGGAGUAACAGAGAGCAUAGUGUCGCUGCGUCGGUGUUGGUGGAGCCUACCAUGGACAAGCGUGGGGGUAGGGGAGGGGUCCUGCUCACCAACAUGGAGGGCUCGAUAUUGAGAAGGGAGAGAGAGGAUGGGGGAGAGCUAGAGGAAGAACAGGUCCAAUGUGAAACAUUUUUCAAAGAACCUAGGUCCAAAGUGAAAAGCAAGGGUUACCCAUAGCCCAAGCUGCAACAUUGGUGAAAAGGGGUGGCCCCAUGUGCAAUUUACUUAAAUUUUUUUGAAGUUUUUUUAAAUGAGUUUCAAACACCAACACCCUGUAAAACUUAACAAAUUAAUGUUUUAGAAUCGAAAAUAAAGAAAUCCAACUGAAAGCAUAGAGUUAUCAAAGGAUGGAAUAUGAAGCGUCAAGAGAGAAACCUAGAAACGUUUGAUACAAGGAAACUGCGAUUUUCAUACAAGCUUCAAGGUGCAACAAAAUCGAUGGGUCUAGCUCACUACAAGGUUAUUUAUUUUCGAUAAACAUGGACACAACUAUACAACUCAAUUAUACAACUCAAUCAUAAGUUCAAAAUUAACUUCUGAGCAAAAUAAAUCGGUCAGGUGUAAAUGCAAAAGAAUAUUUUGUUUUUAUAAACGAGAAAAUAAAGUUCAAACAAACUUAAAGGAGAUGAACCAUGACAACCCAAAAAAAUUUGAAACUCGAAAAAGGAUAUUUGAAGAAUUGAUGCAAGACGAACGUUUUAAAAUCAAAGAAUCCAACUAAAAGUACAAAAUAUAAACUCUUGGAUGAAAAAAUGAAGCCUCAACGGAGAAACCAAGAUAUUGUUUGGUACAACCAAACUUCGAUUUCCAUAAAAUCAAUAAGAUGUGACCAAAUGUAGACGUCUAGCCCACAACUAAGUUUUUUUUUUCGAUAAACAAGGAGACGUAACUCUAGAACUUUGUUAUAAGGCCAAAAUUAAAACGUCAGAGCACAGAAAAUCCGCAAGGUUGAAAUGCAAACAGAUAUUUUCUUUUCGCAAACUAGUAAGUAUAAGAUCAAACAAAAUUAGGAAAUUAACAAUUCAGAACUAAACUAAAGCUUUAAAGUCCAAAGCGAGGAUCAAAAGUGUUAAUACAAGAGAAUAUUCGAAAAUAAAGAAAUCCAACUAAAAGCAUAAAGUAUAAACGAAAGGAUGGAACACGAAACGUCAAGGGAGAAACCUAAAAUCAUUCGAUACAAGGAAACCGCGAUUUUCAUAAAAGCUUCAAGGGGCAACGAAAUGCAUGGGCCUUAUGCACAACAAAGUUAUUUGUUUUCAAAAAACAGGGAGACCAACCUCUACAACUCAAUUCAAAAUUAACGCCGGAGCAAAAUAAAACGGCCAGGCUUCAAUGCAAAAGAAUAUUUUGUUUAUAUAAUCUAGAAAUUAAAGUUCAGACAAAUUUAGGUAAGACGAACGAUAACAACCGAAAAAACAGGAAACUCCAAAAAGGAUAUUUGAAGAAUCGAUGUAAGAGGAACAUUUCAAAAUCAAGGAAUCCAACUAAAAGUGCAAAAUAUAUCUGGAUGACAAAUGAAGCCUCAGCCCGCAAGGUUGAAAUGUAAGAAAAUAUUUUCUUUUCACAAACUAUUAAGCAUAAAUUCAUUGAAAAUGAUAUUUCCGAACUAAAAUAAGCAUUAAAGUCCAAAGGAAAGUUCCAAAAAGAUAAACUUUGUAAUUGAAGAAAUCAAACAGAAAAUACCAAAAUGCAUGGGUUCAGGUCAUAAUAAAGUUAUUUGUUUUCAAAAAACAGGGAGACCAACCUCUACAACUCAAUUCAAAAUUAACGCCGGAGCAAAAUAAAACGGUCAGGCUUCAAUGCAAAAGAAUAUUUUGUUUAUAUAAUCUAGAAAUUAAAGUUCAGAAAAAUUUAAGUAAGACGAAUUAUGACAACCGAAAAAAUUGGAAACUCCAAAAAGGAUAUUUGAAGAAUUGAUGCAAGAGGAACAUUUCAAAAUCAAGGAAUCCAACUAAAACUGCAAAAUAUAAACUUCUCGAUGACAAACGGAGAAACCAAGAAAUCGUUUGGUACAACUAAACUACGAUUUUCAUAAAAUCAAUAAGAUUCAACCACAUGUUGACGUCUAGCCCGCAACCAAGACAUUUUUUUUGAUAAACAAGGAGACGUAACUCUAGAACUUAGUUAUAAGUCCAAAAAACAUCAGAGCACAAUAAAGCCGCAAGGUUUAAACAUAAAGAAGUAUUUUCAUUUCAAAAACUAGUAAGCAUAAGUUUAAACAAAAUUUUGGAAAUUAGGAUUUCAAAACUAAAACAAAGCUUUUAAAGUCCAAAGAGAAGAUCAAAAAAGAGAAACAUUGUAAUUGAAGAAAUCAAACCCAAAGUACCAAAUUGAAACUCAUCGAUGAAAAGGUAAAGAAAUCGAACUAAAAACAUAAAGUCAAAGCAGAAAACAUAAGUUCAAACAAACUUAAAGAAGACGAACUGUGACAACUAAAAAAAUUGGAAACUCCAAAAUUGAUAUUUGAAGAAUCGAUGCAUGAAGAACCUUUCAAAAUCAAGGAAUCCAACUAAAGGUAAAAAAAUUAAACUUAUGGAUGAAAAAUGAAGCGUCAACGGAGAAACAAAUAAAUUUUUCAGGACAAGCGAGCUACGAUUUUCAUAAAAUCAACAAGAUUCAACCAAAAUGAAGACGUCUAGCUUCCAGCUACGAUAUUAUUUUUCCAUAAACAGGGAAACGUAACUCUAGAACUUAUUUAUAAGUCUACAAUUAAAACGUCACAUCACAGAAAACCGCAUGGUUCAAACGCAAGCAAAUACAAACCGAAAAUAGAGAAAGCUUAUAAUUAAAGAAAUCAAACUGAAAAUACCAACUAAAAACAUAAAGUUUAAACGAGGACGGAAAACCAUUAAUAGAGAAGAACAUUCGAAGAAAAACAAAUCCAACUAAAAACAUAAAAUUUAAACAAGGACAGAAAAUGAAGCGUCGAGGGACAAAAAAAAGCCGCAAGGUUUAAAUGCAAGGAAAUAUUUUCUUUUCACAAGCUAGUACUUCCUCCGUCCCAAAAUUUAGCUAUUUUUAACACCGUAACUUGUCUCAAAAUGAAGUUAUUUCUCCACGUACCCUCUCCUCUCAACCGAUCACAACCAUUCUCUUCACCUACUCUCUCUUCUCCACCAAUCACAACCAUGCUCCAAUUAUUUCUAUCUACUUUCCUAAUAUCCGUGCCUACCUAAAAAAUACAUACAUUCUAGGACGAAGGAAGUAUGCACAAGUUCAUAGAAAAUUACGGAAAAUGAGAUUUCAGAACUAAAAUAAGCUAUAAAGUCCAAAGGGAAGUUCCAAAAAGAGAAAUUUUGUAAUUGAAGAAAUCAAACUGAAAAUAACAAGUUGAAACUAGAGGACGAAAAAACAAUCGGUAAGUGAGGAACCAAAUUAACGUUUUAAAGUCCAAAGAGCAAAUCAAAACCAUUAAUAGAGAAGAACGUUCGAAGAUAAAUAAAUCCAACUAAAAACAUAAAGUUCAAACGAGGAAGGAAAAUGAAGCGUCGAGGGACAAAAAAGCCGCAAGGUUGAAAUGUAAGCAAAUAAUUUCUUUUCACAAACUAGUAAGCAUAACUUCUUAGAAAAUUACGGAAAUUGAGAUUUUAGAAGCAAAAUAAAGCUUUAAAGUCCAAAGGGAAGUUCUAAGAAGAGAAAGUUGGUAAUUGAAGAAAUCAUACUAAAAAACAAAGUUGAAACUCAAGGAUGAAAAAACAACUGGUAAGGGAGGAACCAAAUUAAAGUUUUAAAGUCCAAAUAGCAUAUCGAAAUCAUUAAUAGAGAAGAACGUUCGAAGAUAAAGAAAUCACACUAAAACCAUAACGUUUAGACGAAGACGGAAAAUGAAGCGUCGACCGACAAAAAAGCCGAAAGGUUGAAAUGCAAAUAAAUAUUUUCUUUUCACAAACUAGUAAACAUAAGUUCAAACAAAAUUACAAAAAUUGACACUUCAGAAAAAAAUUGACACUUCAGAAGUAAAAUAACGCUUUCAAGUCCAAAGGGAAGUUCCAAGAAGAGAGUCUGUAAUUGAAGAAAUCAAACUGAAAAUACCAAGCUGUACUUCCAGGAUGAAAAAACAACCAGUAAGUGAGGAACCAAAUUAAAGUUUUAAAGUCAAAAUAACAUAUCAAAACCAUUAAUAGAGAAGAACGUUCGAAGAUAAAUAAAUCUAACUAAAAACAUAAAGUUUAAACGAUGACGAAAAAUGAAGCGUCGAGGGACAAAAAAGCCGCAAGGUUUAAACGCAAAGAGAUAUUUUAUUUUCAAAAACUAGUAAGCGUAAGUUUAAACAAAAUUUUGGAAAUUAGGAUUUCAAAACUAAAACAAAGCUUUUAAAGUACAAAGAGAAGAUAAAAAAAGAGAAACAUUGUAACUGAAGAAAUCAAACCAAAAGUACCAAAUUGAAGCUCAACGAUGAAACGGUAAAGAAGUCCAAUUAAAAACAUAAAGUCAAAGCAUAAAGCAUAAGUUCAAACAAACUUAAGGAAGACGAACUGUGACAACUAAAAAUAUUGGAAACUCCAAAAGUGAUAUUUGAAGAAUCGAUGCAUGAAGAACCUUUCAAAAUCAACGAAUCCAACUAAAGGUAAAAAAUUUAAAACUUAUAGAUGAAAAAUGAAGCGUCAACGGCGAAACCAAAUUUUUUUUUUAGGACAAGCAAGCUACGAUUUUUAUAAAAUCAAUAAGAUGCAACCAAAUGAAGACGUCUAGCUUGCAGCCACAAGAUUUUUUUUCCAUAAAUAGGGAAACGUAACUCUAGAACUUAUUUAUAAGUCCACAAUUAAAACGUCAUAGCACAAAAAAGCCGCAAGGUUUAAAUGCAACGAAAUAUUUUCUUUUCUCAAACUAGUACUACCUCCGUUCCAAAAUUUAGCUAUUUCCUGCACAGUAACUUGUCCCAAAAUGAAGCUAUUUCUUCACCUAACGUCUCCUCUCAACCAAUCACAACCAUUGUUUCCACCUACUCUCUAUUCUGCACCAACCACAACCUUCCUCCAAUUAUCUCUACCUACUUUCUUAAUAUUCGUGCCUACCUUAAAAAAUACAUAUAUUCUGGGACGGAGGAAGUAUGCAUAAGUUCUUAGAAAAUUUACGAAAAUGAGAUUUCGGAAGUAAAAUAAAUAAGCUUUGAAGUCCAAAGGUUAGUUCCAAGAAGAGAAAGUUGGUAAUUGAAGAAAUCAUACUCAAAAACCAAGUUGAAACUCAAAGAUGAAGAAAGAACCGGUAAGGGAACAACCAAAUUACCGUUUUAAAGUCCAAAUAGUAUAUCGAAACCCUUAAUAGAGAUAGAGAAGAACAUUCGAAGAUAAAGAAAUUCCACUAAAACUAUAAAGUUUAAAUGAACACAGAAAAUGAAGCGUCAAAUGAAGAGAGAAAAUGAAGCGUCGAGGGAAAAAAAAGCUGAAAGGUUGAAAUGCAAGCAAAUAAUUUCUAUUCACAAAGUAGUAAGCAUAAGUUCAUAGAAAAUUUCAGAGCUAAAAUAAGCUUUAAAUUCCAAAGGAAAGUUCCAAAACGAGAAAGUUUGCAAUUGAAGAAAUCAAACUAAAAGUACCAAAUUGAAACUCAACUAUGAAAAGAUUAAGAAAUCCAAAACUAAAAGUAAAAAAAAUUAAACUUAUGGAUGAAAAAUGAAGUGUCAAUGGAGAAACCAAUAUUUUUUUUGAGACAAGCAAGCUACGAUUUUCAUAAAAUCAAUAUGAUGCAACCAAAUGAAGACAUGUAGCUUGUAGCCACGAUAAUUUUUUUUCCAUAAACAGGGAAACAUAACUCUAGAACUUAUUUAUAAGUCUACAGUUAAAAUGUUAUAGCACAAAAAAGCCGCAAGGUUUAAAUGCAAGGAAAUAUUUUCUUUUCACAAACUAGUACUACUUCCAUCCCAAAAUAUAGCUAUUUCUCCACCUACCCUCUCCUCUCUUCACCUACUCUCUCUUCUCCACCAAUCACAACCCUCCAAUUAUCUCUACCUACUUUCUCCAUAUCCGUGCCUACCUAAAAAAUACCUACAUUCUAGGACAGAGAAAGUAUGCAUAAGUUCUUAGAAAAUUUAGGAAAUAAGAUUUCAGAACCAAAAUAAGUUUUUAAAAUCCAAAGGGAAGUUCCAAAAAGUGAAUGUUAGUAAUUGAAGAAAUCAAACUGAAAAAACCAAGUUGAAACUCAAGAAAUCAAGGUUUAAACACAAAGAGAUUUUCUUUUCAACAACUAGUAAGCAUAAGUUUAAACAAAUUUUUGGAAAUUAGGAUUUCAAAACUAAAACAAAGCUUUUAAAGUCCAAAGAGAAGAUAAAAAAAAGAGAAACAUUGUAACUAAAGAAAUCAAACCAAAAGUACCAAAUUGAAACUACACGAUGAAAAGGUAAAGAAGUCCAACGAAAAACAAAAAGUCAAAGCAGAAAGCAUAAGUUUAAACAAACCUAUGGAAGACGAACUGUGACAACUAAAAAAAUUGGAAACUCCAAAAAUGAUAUUUGAAGAAUCGAUGCAUGAAGAACCUUUCAAAAUCAAGGAAUCCAACUAAAGGUAAAAAAAUUAAACUUAUGGAUGAAAAAUGAUGCAUCAACGGAGAAACAAAUAAUUUUUUCAGGACAAUUAAGCUACGAUUUUCAUAAAAUCAACAGGAUUCAACCAAAAUGAAGACAUGUAGCUUGCAGCCACGAUAUUUUUUUUUCAUAAACAGGGAAACGUAACUCUAGAACUUAUUUUAUAAGUCUACAUGUAAAAUGCCAUAUCAGAAAAAACCGCAUGGUUUAAAUGCAAGCAAAUACAAACUGAAAAUCGAGAAAGUCUGUAAUUGAAAAAAUCAGACCGAAAAUACCAAGUUGUAACUCAAGGAUUAAAAAACGAACGGUAAGUGAGGAACCAAAUUAAAGUUUUAAAGUCCAAAUAGCAUAUCAAAACCAUCAAUAGAGAAGAACGUUUGAAGAUAAAGAAAUCAAAAUCAAAACAUAAAGUUUAAAGGAGGACGAAAAAUGAAGAGUCGAGGGAAACAAAGCCGCAAGGUUGAAAAGUAAGCAAAUAUUUUAUUUUCCCAAACUAGAAAGCAUAACUUCAUAGAAAAUUACGAAAAACGAAAUUUCAGAAGUAAACCGAAGCUUUAAAGUCCACAGGGAAGUUCCAAAAAGAGAGUUCGUAAUUGAAUAAAUCAAACUGAAAAACCAAGUUGAAAUACAAGGGUUAAAAAACAACCGGUAAGUGAGGAACCAAAUUAAAGUUUUAAAAUCGAAAUAUCAUAUCAAAACCAUCAAUAGAGAAGAACAAUUGAAGAUAAAGAUAUCCAACUCAAAACAUAAAGUUUAAACGAGGACAGAAAAUGAAGCGUUCAAAAAAGACGCAAGGUUGAAAUGUAAGCAAAUAUUUUAUUUUCACAAACUAGUAAACAUAAGUUCAAACGAAAUUACAAAAAAUUGACAUUUUAGAAGUAAAAUAAAUAUUUAAAGUCCAAAGGGAAGUUCCAAGAAGAAAGUUUGUACUUGAAGAAAUCAAACUGAAAAUAUCGAGUUGAAAUUCAAGGAUUAGAAAACAACCGGUAAGUGAAUAACCAAAUGAAAGUUUAAAAGUUCAAAUAGUAGAUCAAAACCAUUAAUAGAGAAGAACGUUCCAAGAUAAAUAAAAGCCAACUCAAAACAUAAAGUUACGAGAACAGAAAAUGAAGCGUCGAGAGACAAAAAAGCCGCAAGGUUGAAAUGCAAGCAAAUAUUUCUCACAAAAUAGUAACAAAAAAUUCAAACAAAAUUACGGAAAUUAGGAUUUCAGAAAAAAAAAACUAGUAAGCGUAAAUUCAUAGAAAAUUACGGAAAAUGAGAUUUUAGAGCAAAAGUAAGCUAUAAAGUCGAAAGUGAAGUUCCAAGAAGAAAGUUUGUAAUUGAAGAAAUCAAACUGAAAAUACCAAGCUGAAACUAAGGGAUUAAAAAACAACCGGUAAGUGAGAAACCAAAUCAAAGUUUUAAAGUCCAAAUAGCAUAUCAAAACCAUUAAUAGAGAAGAACGUUCGAAGAUAAAUAAAAUCCAACUCAAAACAUAGAGUUGAAACGUGGACGAAAAAUGAAGCGUCGAGGGACAAAAAAAAAGCCGCAAGGUUGGAAUGUAAGUAAAUAUUUUCUUUUCACAACCUAGUAACCAUAAGUUCAAACAAAAUUAUGGAAAUUUGCAUUUCAGAAAUAAAAUAAAGCUUUAAAGUCCAAAAGGAAGUCCCAAAAAGAGAGUUUGUAAAUGAAGAAAUCAAACUAAAAAAAAACAAGUUGUAACUUAAGGAUUAAAAAACAACCGGUAAGUGAGGAACCAAAUUAAAGUUUUAAAGUCCAAAUAGCAUAUCAAAACCAUCAAUAGAGAAGAAUGUUCUAAGAUAAAGAAAUCCAACUCAAAACAUAGAUUUCAAACGAGGACAGAAAAUGAAGCGUUCAAAAAAGCUGCAAGGUUAAAAUGUAAGCAAAUAUUUUGUUUUCACAAACUAGUAAAAAGAAGAUCAAAUGAAAUUAUGAAAAAUUGACAUUUUAGACGUGAAAUAAAGCUUUAAAGUCCAAAGGAAAGUUCCAAGAAGAAAGUUUGUAAUUGAAGAAAUCAAACUAAAAAAUACCAAGUUGAAACUAAGGGAUUAAAAAACAACCAGUAAGUGAGGAGCAAAUCAAAGUUUUAAAGUCCAAAUAGCAUAUCAAAACCAUUAAUACAGAAGAACGUUCGAAGAUAAAUAAAAUCCAACUCAAAACAUAGAGUUUAAACGAGGACGGAAAAUGAAGCGUCGAUGGUAAAAAAAAAAGCAGCAAGGUUGAAAUGCAAGCAAAUAUUUCUUUUCACAAACUAGUACUACCUCCGUCCCAAAAUGUAGCUAUUUCUCAACCUACCCUCUCCUCUUAACCCAAUCACAACCAUUCUCUUCACCUACUCUCUUCUCUACGAAUUACAACCCUCUUCCAAUUAUCUCUACCUACUUUCUCCAUCUAUGUGCCUACCUAAGAAAUACCUACAUUCUGGGACGGAGGAAGUAUGCAUAAGUUAUUAGAAAAUUUAGGAAAUAAGAUUUCAUAACCAAAAUAAGUUUUUAAAGUCAAAAGGGAAGUUCCAAAAAGAGAAAGUUUGUAAUUGAAUAAAUCAAACUGAAAAAACCAAGUUAAAACUCAAGAAAUCAAGGUUUAAACGCAACGAGAUAUUUUCUUUUCGAAAACUAGUAAGCAUAAGUUUAUACAAAAUUUUGGAAAGUAGGGUUUCAAAACUAAAACAAAGCUUUUAAUGUCCAAUGAGAAGAUCAAAAAAGAGAAACAUUGUAACUGAAGAAAUCAAACCUAAAGUACCAAAUUGAAACUCAACGAUGUAAAGGUAAAGAAAUCCAACUAAAAACAUCAAGUCAAAGCAAAAAGCAGAAGUUCAAAUAAAUUUAAGGGAGACAAACUGUUACGACUAAAAACAUUGGAUACUCCAAAAAUGAUAUUUGAAGAAUCGAUGCAAGAAGAACCUUUCAAAAUCAAGGAAUCCAAGAGAAAGUUUGUAAAUGAAUAAAUCAAACUGGAAAAAAGCAAGUUGAAACUCAAGGGUGUAAAAACAACCGGUAAGUGAGUAACCAAAUUAAUGUUUUAAAGUCCAAAUAGCAAAUCAAAACCAUUAAUAGAGUAAAACGUUCGAAGAUAAAUAAAUCCAACUAAAAACAUAAAGUUGAAACGAGGACGGAAAAUGAAGCGUCGAGGGACAAAAAAAGCCGCAAGGUUGAAAUGUAAGCAAAUAUUUUCUUUUCACAACCUAGUAACCAUAAGUUCAAACAAAAUUAUGGAAAUUAGCAUUUCAGAAAUAAAAUAAAGCUUUAAAGUCCAAAAGGAAGUCCCAAAAAGAGAGUUUGUAAAUGAAGAAAUCAAACUAAAAAAAACAACCAGUAAGUGAGGAACCAAAUUAAAGUUUUAAAGUCCAAAUAGCAUAUCUAAACCAUUAAUAAAGAUAGGGAAGAACGUUCGAAGAUAAAUAAAUCCAACUAAAAACAUAUAGUUCAAACUAGGAAAGAAAAUAAACCGUCGAGGGACAAAAAAAAAGGCGCAUGGAUGAAAUCUAAGCAAAUAAUUUGUUUUCAUAAACUAGUCAGCAUAAAUGCAUAGAAAAUUACGAAAAAUGAUAUUUCAGAGCAAAAAUAAGCUAUAAAGUCCAAACGGAAGUUCCAAAAAGCGAAAUUUUGUAAUAGAAGAAAUCAAACUGAAAAAACACAGUUGAAACUAAAGGAUUUAAAAACAACCGAUAAGUGAGGAACCAAAUCAAAGUUUUAAAGUUCAAAUAGCAAAUCAAAACCAUUAAUAGAGAAGAACUUUCGAAGAUAAAUAAAAAACAUAAAGUUUAAACGAAGACGUUAAAUGAAACAUCGAGGGAAAAAAAAGCCGCAAGUUUGAAAUGUAAGCAAACAUUUUCUUUUCACAAACUAGAAAGCAUAACUUCAUAGAAAAUUAUGGAAAAUGGGAUUUCAGAAGUAAAAAAAAGCUUUAAAGUCCAGACGAAAAUUCCAAAAAGAGAAAGUUGGUAAUUGAAGAAAUCAAAUUGAAAAUACUAAGUUAAAAUUCAAGGAUUAAAAAACAACCGGUAAGUGAGGAACCACAUUAAUGUUUUAAAGUCCAGAUAGUAUAUCCAAACCAUUAAUAGAGAAGAACGUUCAAAGAUAAAGAAAUUCAACUCAAACGAUUAAUACAAAAGACCUUCGAAGAUUAUUAAAUCCAACUAAAAACAUAAAGUUUAAACGAUUAAUACAAAAGACCUUCGAAGAUUAUUAAAUCCAACUAAAAACAUAAAGUUUAAACGAGGACGGGAAAUUAAGCGUCGAGGGGCAAAAAAGCCGCAAGGUUGAAAUGUGGGCAAAUGUUUUCUUUCAGCAAACUAGUAAGCAUAAGUUCAAACAAAAUUAUGAAAAUUGUCAUUUCUGAAGUAAAAUAAAGUUUUAAAGUCUAAAGGGAAGUUCCAAAAAGAGAGUUUGGUAAUUGAAGAAAUCAAACUAAAAAUACCUAGUUGAAACUCAAGGAUCAAAAAAUAACCGGUAUCUAAGGAUCCAAAUUCCAAAUAGCAGAUCAAAACCAUUAAUAGAGAAGAACGUUCGAAGAUAUCCAAAUAAAAACAUAAAGUUUAAACGAGGACGGGAAAUGAAACCUCGAGGGACAAAAAAGCCACAAGGUUGAAAUACGGGCAAAUAUUUUCUUUUUGAAAAUAACAUAACCAAAUUAAAAUAACAUAACCAAAAAAAACAUAAGACUAAGAGGCCUUCUUUUUCUAAAAAAAGAACACCAAUCUCUAAAAAUCCAAUCAUAAGUAGCAAGCUAAAGCGGAAAAGUUCAAAUAGAGAAUAAGUCCGAAAUAUAAAGAAAGUAUUUAUGGAUAAAAGGAAACACCAACUUAAAAGUGUCCAGGAAGAAAUCAAUUCAGUGUUUUUAGGGGAGGGGGAGGAUGGAUUACAAAUUAAAAGGGCCACGUGUGAACUAGAAUAUCCUAUUUCUAUAGUUGGGAGUACCAAAUUAAAAAAAAACAAAUCUGAAUUUUCUGAAUCCCAAUAAAAGUAUCAAGGAUGAAACCAAGGAAUUGCAAAACAAAUCGUAAUUUUUGGAUAAGAAAUUAGAAAUACCAAAUUAAAGCUUUAGAAAACUGAUUGAAGUGCAAAGUAACAGAUGAUUAAAAAAAAGAAAUAUCAACUUUAAUAAAAGCAUUUAGGCAUAUAGAACUGAAUCUGUCAAGCAUACAGUAAGAAACCAAUAGUAUUAAAUGCCAUGCAAGAAACGAAAUAAGGUCCAAAUUAGAGUCUCAAUCCAAUCUGAAAUGCAGAACUAAAGCUUUAAAACACAAAAAAAAAAACAUCGAACACACAAAAGUUAACACCAAAUUCCGAAAAAAAAAACAAUUGUAGGUUAGAAACUGAACAUGUAUAAUCCAUAUAAAUGUAUCGAUUACAAAAUCGAGAAAUGUUAUUAAAAAUAAUCAAGGGAUGUUACUCAGAGUUUAGAAUACCAAAAGAAGUUUCGAGAAGAGAGGAGAAUGUUUGUUGCCCUUUGUAUUUUAAAGCUUCUAAACUAGUACUUGUAGCAGGUUUUCCAUUUGUCUUCCUUUCUAGAAAAAAAAAAACUUAUCUUGGUACCCUUGUAAUAAACUGGUCCUGUUGGCUAUAAGCUGAUAAUGGAAGAUUACAGUAAAGAAAUUUGCAAACAUCUGAAUAUAUGUCAUCAAUGUACUCUUGUACUUGAGAGAAAUACCAUAUACAUGAACAAUGCAAUAAAUUUGCCCUUCCCGGUGUAUUGAAAUUUCCAAAUCCGCAUGCCCCUAACAACAUAUACGGAUUCGCAUCCCCCUCCCGCACACACACAGAAACACAAUCCCAAAAAAUCAUUCAUUACAAAGAUAAAUUAAAAUUAGUUUAGUGCUUUCCUUUUUUAAAAAAAAGGUAAAUCUGAGCCAUAGUAGCCCUUAGCGACAUUGAGUAGCCCGACCUAUUAUUGCCAUGUUAUAGAAGCAAGGCAACAGGACAUCAUUGUAUUACCAAAUACAAGAAUAAAUAACCCAAAGUUUUUAACUUAUAAACAAAGGUACAAUUCAUUCUACUCUAUGCCAUCAUUCUAACGUGAAAUUAGCAAUCACUUACUGGUUGUGCAGAUCAUAAAUUGCUCAUGAUAAGAUUGUAACAGCUAAUAGCAUCUUUUAGGCGAUAUCCUAAAUUUUUUAAUCAAACACGGGACAGAAUCAUAUGAAUCAUACUGUUCAAAUAUAUUAAUAACAGUUCAGGGAGUAUAUGUACAAGAAUUACACACGCAAGGCAUUUAUGGAGAAAACAAUGAAAACUAGAUUUUCACCAACAUAAAAUAAAACUUACGAUUGGAAUAUUGGGAAUAGCAUCUGUUAAUGGUAUAAUGCCCUCUUCAUUACUUCUUGUGUGGGAUUUAAUAAACAACGUGGGUCAACAAAGCAUUUGUCAAGUGCCAAAACCUGUCGUAUGUUUCACAUAAUAUCAUUCAAAUAUUUGCUUUCACCUGAUAUCAAAUAGCCAACCAGAUUAAGAAAUCUCUGCUUCAAUUAAAUGCACAGUAGAGUAAAUAGAUUCCAUUACUCUUAACAUAUUUGAUCUAUGAACUUUCCACUAUAGCCUAUGGUCAACUGAGAUAUAAGCUUGAACCAAGAAAUGCAAUUACAAAAAGAGAAGUAUUAUUGUUUAAGUCAUGUGAUGCGCCAGCAAGCAAACUACUCAUUUAGGUACCAGAACAACUGAAUACUUUGUGCAUAAUCAUCAAAACAGAACUCAGCAACAAGAUAAUUAAUAUGGCAGUAAUAAAACUAAAAGUAUUGAGACAACUAAGGAGGUUCUAAUAGGCAGCAAGUUUCAAACAAUAGGACAUGCAGAACCAAGCGGAUGUGAUCUCAAGGACCGGGAAGAGACGUUAGCUAGAACUCCGGGUAAAACUAUAUUUGUUUGAAUUACUACCAGAUAUAUGGCCCAAAAGUGGAACACAGCAAUUUGAAAUUACAUCAAGUGAGAGAUGCAUAUGGAACGGUUCAGAACAUGGGCACAGGAAGUGAGGAACUCACAGCAUCAGACAUGGACUUGCACUUGUCACCACCAAAUCAACCAAGUCAGAACACACAUUGUAGCAGUUAAUGCAGCAGAGCAACACAAACGCGCCACAAGAUACCUGCUUGACGUUAGGGUGCUUCUCCUUGCAGUCCUUCCCUACGGAAACAAACACGUCACGCCAAAUCGAUCAGAACGCACACCCAAGCCACCUUGAAUGAAGAACCAGCAGCACAAACUCACAGACCUAAGACUCACAGGGAGUAGACCAGGAUGUAAAGGAAGAGGGUUCAUUGCGAUUGGGAUUGGGAUUGGCAUUUACAUGAUGAAAGAGCAAACAAAAACUGGGAGCAGCUACACUACUGUAGGGCAAUGCUAAGGAUCACAAAAUGGGAAGAAACCAAAAUGAAAGGAGAAAAAAAGAAAGCAGGGUUCCCUAGCUUAACAUGUCUCUCAGUCUCCACCAACUACAUUUAUCCUUAACCUUACCUACUACUCAACCAGCAUGCCCUGUCACGUACUUAACACCAGCAGCAGCAGCACGCAUUUCUCCCAUGGCUAGAUAUUUUACAUAAUUGUACUUCUCUGGUACUGAGUCCUUGCGGAAAUGGCUUGACGGAUGGAUAGAUCAUGGAAGAAUCAUGGAUGGUGCAAUCUGAGAUGGAGUCCCAAGUCCAAGACAAUGGAGUCAUCUAGGAUUGCAAUGUCCAGCUCAUGGAAAAAUAAACGAACAAAACGGUGAGCGUUACGGUGCCAUUCUAACUCCCAGCAUGCGCAAGUUGAGGCCAUGUUGCCGUCUGAUAUGAUCCGGUAUGAGUCUGUGGACGAGUUCUGGAGAGGCGCCAGUUAGCUGCAUUGCAGAAAUGAGCAUUGAUAAGCAUCCAUGACAGGUAAAUAUAAAUGUAACAUAAAAAGCGACUGUUCGAAAAUGUUCUCGUUUACUUACUUCAUGCUUGAAGUUGAACAGAGGAGGGAAUGGACGACCAUUUGCCAUGGCAGGCGUGCAUUGGGCUCUCGUAGCUCAUCAAAGAAGGGAUGUGCACAUGCGUCAAGCUGCAUAUAAUCAACCAAAUGUUAAGAUCUUCGAAAAUGCCGAUGCUGCUUUAGAGAUUAUACUGUUUUCCAGCUAAAGCAUAAGAUUUAAACAAAUAACAGCAACUUUUUCAAGUGGAGCACUAACAACUAUAUUUAACAGGCACAUGCGACUGUAUAAAAGUUGCACUCACUCUUAACCAGCCAACACACCAAUUUGGUUUUGGACCACUGGAUAUAUUAAUCUCUCUAAAUGCCGUGGGAUUGCUGGAAGUAGGGAUGCCACGUCAGCUAUCACUUUUGCAAAAAAAGCCACCACAGUUCUGUUAAUUACGUGCCAGGCCCCAUUGUUGUCGUCCGUUGGAUCUCGCACUAACGUCGAUCUGACCACCCACGUGUUCCUUUGUGGCUGCCUAAGCCGUGCGCUCGUCAGAUUGGGAAUGAACGGCGCAGAUGUCACCACACCGCACCAAAACCCUAGCCGCCCUCCUCCUCUCACCCGCGUCGUCACAACUAGCGCCGCCACCCAUCCUCACCCGCGUGCCUCCUCACCCUCCUCCAGCCAUCUUCACCGCGCCGCCGCCGCUCUCUCCGAGAGAGGCCAUCGCAUAAGUCACCGGUGGAUCUGGCCACAGGGAAGCGAGGGACACGAGUCGCCGCCACCAUCUUCUCCUCUUCCAUCCCCACCCCACCAUCGCCUCCCUCGCUCUCGCCCUCUUCUAAUCGCUCUCCACUCCAUUUAGUGCCAGAUCCGAGCGAUGGCUAGGACGCCAGGGACGAUAAGAGAGAUUGAGAGCGGCGGCUCAGCCAUGACUAGGACAACAAUAACAAGCCAUGACUGUACCAGCGUAUGGCGACGACUCGGAUAAACCCAAUUUGGUAUGCAGUUCUACUUAAAGCAAUGAACGAUUUUUCCCUUUGUGUUGUACUAUGAUUUCUAUAUACUAUAUGCAAGUGUACCUAUUUGAUCUAGCCACUGAUCCCUGUUCUGGUUUGCUGCUCAUUAUUAGUUCAACAUGAAUGAUAUAUGUGGUCCUAUUUAGGUUUAGUUGUUUAUGCUAUGAGCAGUUUUUUAUUGGUUAAUUUGCUGCCUGCUAUUUUUGUACACAGGAUGAUAAUACAUAUGCAUUGAUGGUAUUCUUUGUGGAUGAUCUUACAAUGGCAAUGGUUCUCACGAAAGAUUCUAUGUAAACCUAACAAUCUUGGCAUACUAUCACAUCCAACCUUUCAAUUGGGCCACACUGAAGGUACCAUUCUUUUAUUCUCCAUUUUUUGACUUAAUUUCUUGAUUUGUAUGUAAUAGCAAGUUUUUUUUCCCUUUUUAUUGACUUAAUUUCAGUUACAAAAAGAGAAGUAUUAUUGUUUAAGUCAUGUGAUACGCCAGCAAGCAAACUACUCAUUUAGGUACCAGAACAACUGAAUACUUUGUGCAUAAUCAUCAAAACAGGACUCAGCAACAAGAUAAUUAAUAUGGCAGUAAUAAAAGUAAAAGUAUUGAGACAACUAAGGAGGUUCUAAUAGGCAGCAAGUUUCAAUAGGACAUGCAAAACCAAGCGGAUGUGAUCUCAAGGACCGGGAAGAAACGUUAGCUAGAACUCCUGGCAAAACUAUAUUUGUUUGAAUUACUGCCAGAUAUAUGGCCCAAAAGUAGAACAAAGCAAUUUGAAAUUACAUCAAGUGGGAAAUGCAUAUGGUAAUGAACUUUCUGUACACGUUGGAUAUUAUUUUAAAGAGGUUAUACCAGUGGUGGUAGUAACAUGAAAAUAAUGGUGGAAAGCGUGUGUGAAGUGGUUUCAUACCGGUGGGAUUGUGGGUAUUCAGAAGGAAAGCAAACAUCAAAGAAGAACAGACCAUCAUGAUAUGGAGUUUCAGCUGGCCCAACAAUGGCAGCCCUCAGCAGAUCAAUCCUAUCCUCAUAAACUCUAACAUAGAUAGAUUCUGCAUGAUUGAAACCAGACUGAGAUGCAAGUUUCUAGUAUUGAAGACAUCAGCUAUUUCAGUCACAGUUGCUCUAAACGAAAAACUUAAGGCGCAAAUGUAAACUGUAUGUAAUGAUACUUGUGAUACAUUAGCUUCCUUCAGCAACAUGAUUUGAGAUAUGUACAUUCUUUUCCAUUUGUCCCAUUACCCAAACUUAGCAAGAUUAAGUUCUGAAGACUGUUAUGCUUCUAUGACAAGAUUGCAUGGAAAAGGGACGAUAAAUGCAGACCAUAACUAAAAGAUAUGUGACACAUUAACAAAAACUAACAGAUAAAUCAGAUAUAGCACGAAUAAAGUAUUUUAUACAUCAAGCAUAGACAAUAUCAUUAGCUAGUUCGGGAUUCAGCAACAGUUGUAACAAAACUCCAAACCACAAACAAAUUGGUAUAACCAAUGAAUAUAUCCUAUUCAAACCCAAACUGAGCAUGUGACUACCUUUAACUCAAGAAAGAUUUCAAACAUAGUCUGUUAGCAUGUCACACGGAUCAGAUAUAAUUGGCAUAAAACAGAGGUCAGUAUAAGAAAGGACCAUUAUAUGUGUUCACCAUCUAGGCACUGACGGUUUGAUAAAAUUGAAUACAAUGAUUUGCCAUAUAAAAGCAUGUACUGACCAGGUAGAUCUUUCUGUAGAAGCCUCCAUUCAUUUUGGAUUGUCUUCACCCAAUCUUUGGAGGUCUGAUCAGUGGCCACAGAUAAAGACAGGAAAUUAAUUCACAGUUGGAUCUAUUGAUAGAAAUAGAAUUCAUAAAACGCACAGCUUACCUUCCCUGGUGAAUUCUUUGCAUAGUAAUGGUCAGAAAAAUCUUGAACAACAUCAAAAUGGCUAAACAAAUUGCAACCAUCACUUUCAAAUCCAUAUUCUGUCCUUGUCAUUGAUGAUAUAACACUUGAACAUUCAGGCUCAUGUUUUUGCACAGAUAGCACAGUACCAUUCCCAGUUGAAAAGGGAUCCAAAAGGCUGUUGUUUGUGCUGACAUUUGCAGUGGGGUGUGGAGCGGCAACUGAAAGCCAGUAGAGUAACUAGUUUCAAACCAAGAUGUUACAAAAAAAGGCACACCAAUCUUAAAGACAGAGAUACAGAAUAGGAUACUGAAGCUCAUUUAACUGCAAAAAAGAGGUUUACUUGCAUCAAUACUACCGACUGACAGCAAAGCAAAGAGUGAUGAACAUUAGAUAAUGUGUAGUUCUGUUAAAGUAACAAAUAUCCCCUUUGGGGGUAAACGGGGAGGGGGGGGGCUUUUUUUUUUUUUGUUCAUUUUAAUUUUUUAAAAGAACAGGUUCAGCUACAUGAAGCAUAAGAAUUACAAAAACAAACAAGGAGGAAAAAGUUGCAUGAAAAGAUAACUUUACAAAGAGGAUUAAUGGCUUUGCCUGCAUGAAAAUAUUCUUUUAUUAGAAAGCUCCAGGCAGAAGAGCAAAACACUUGAUUUUAUCUUUCUGAAACAAAAUAAGGAGAAUUCCAUGCUUCAGAGGGAGAUGCGGAUUUCGUGGCUGGGUAUACAGGCUAAUGAAAUAUUAAGUUUUUUUUCAUUAUACAGUUUAACAAACUUCAAAACAAUAUUGAUCACCAAGACUCAUGGAUUCAUAAUACCAGACUAUUCACAAGUUCACUCUCCAGUGAAUAUAUCCAAUCACACUAGUAGCACUCUCAAUCUGUUGAGAUUAAGUUUACUACACAUAUCACAUUUUGGUAUACUUUGUUAACCUCAAAGCAUCUGAUAUAGCAAUAAUGUACAGCAGCCACAAUUAUCCAAUAAUGUCAAUCCAUUAUGACAACCCCAUUUAAUCUGCAGUAUCCUUUCACCAGAAAACACGUUCAUAUUUGAAAAAAAAAACAGAAUUCAUGGAAGAAAGAGUGCACAAGACGAACUGAUAAUAUGCCAUCAGAUGAGGAAAGCAUCCUAGGAUCAAUCAAACAAACAGAAGCAGCUGACGUAAAGAUGAUGUUAAAUAGGGGCAGUAGUGCAGCUGUGCAGCACCUUUCUUCUUGGAAUCCUUCUUCUUCACACAAAACAGCUCGAGCACCUUGUUUAGAACCAUCCUUAAAACCCGCUUCACGCAAAACGCACCUGAAAAACAUGAGACGCCAUCAUCAGAAUUAGACAGCCAGAAAACAGAAAUAGGCGUCGUCCACCAUCUCCAAAUAAAUCAUCUUCUCACCAAGCGUAACCGAAAAAGGAAGAAAAAAAGACACUAUCUUUUGGAGAAUCCCAACUCCCCAAGCAACUAUUAGUAUUUUCUCCCUUUUAUUUACUUUUUAUUUUAUUUACACUUCACUUCAUUAGUGAACUUUUGGGUUGGGAACUCUUGUUCAUCUGCCUCACCUGUCGGCGUCUAACUCCACACUCCAAUUCCAAUCAGUUACAUACGCGAAGGCUUGUCCAAUACGAUUGGGACACCCUUACCCCCAAGAACAGACAACAACAAAAAAGAAAGAAAGAAAAAAGAGAAGGAGAAGAGAGAACACAUUGAAAGCAAGAAGCCAAGAAACGGCAACUACAGCAACAGAACAAACCCAACAAGGAAAAAACAUACAAAAAUAAAAAGGAAUAAACUUGGACUGUCGCCAUCUAUGAACAGAGUAUCCAUCCAUCCAUCCACCCCAAUUCCACAGAGAAAAACGAGAGAUCACGAAGGUGGUGGUAAUCCCCCGAUCAUCAGCCACCGCCCAUCGCCCACAGCCGCGCCUCCACAAAAUAAAAAAGGAAAAAAAGAACCCUUUCCCCGCAAGAACAACGGCUGCAUCGAUCAAAAAGGAGAAGAAGAAAACCUCGGGUUUGUCUGAGGUGGUCGCGCUGUGCUCUGCAGUGGAGAGGGGGGAAGGGGGAGGGUUUUAGUUGCAGGGCUCAGCAACAAGAUAAUUAAUGUAGCAGUAAUAAAAGUAAAAGUAUUGAGACAACUAAGGAGGUUCUAAUAGGCAGCAAGUUUCAAACAAUAGGACAUGCAAAACCAAGCAGAUGUGAUCUCAAGGACCGGGAAGAGACGUUAGCUAGAACUCCUGGCAAAACUAUAUCUGUUUGAAUUACUGCCAGAUAUAUGGCCCAAAAGUGGAACACAGCAAUUUGAAAUAACAUCAAGUGGGAAAUGCAUAUGGAACAGUUCAGAACAUGGGCACAGGAAGUGAGGAACUUACAGCAUCCUAGCUGUAAGUUCCAGCUGUCAGGAACUUACAGUGUUGAACACUAUGUGAACCAGUAUAGGAAGCAUAUGGAGAAAUUUUCAUUGGCAUAAUGGCGUUUCUCAAUGCAAUGCAGUCUGUAUCCCCAAAGAAAACACAUGGUGAGGAAUUAAUUCCGCAGUUCACUAUAGAGUAGCACAUUUCCUAAUGCAACGUGUGUGCCGGGGCAGAGCAGCACAUUUCCUAAAGCAUAAGCUUAAACAAGUGGAUACAAAAUAUGCGUAGCACCAGAAGAACUCCUGUAACGUAGAUUGUCCAGUCUCCACUCUAAACAUCUCCAAUCCAGCACCCAAACACCCUAGGGAAAUUCUCUAAUUACUUUGGUCCGAUAGCAUCCCGUGAAGUUCAGAUAACCUACUACUCACAUCCCCAAAUUUCAGAGAAGUACACAAAUGAAUUAAUGCAUCAAUCUACUAUAUAGAACUCGAAUCAUGCGACAGGCAUCACAUCACAUUGAUCUGAUGAACGAUCGAUCGGAACGCGAAGCAAGCAAGCAAGCGCACCCAUCGGAAUCUCCGAGCACCCAAACGCGCGGUAGAUCCCGCAACCGAGCCACCAAAAAGAAAACCUAGGGAGUUCGCGGCGGAUUGUACCUUGAGCGGAGCCAGCCCCAGAGCCCGCCACCGCGGCGGCCUCGGGGAAGACGAAGCGCGGGUGGAGGAGGCCGUUCGUCCAUCGGCAGAAUGCCACUCCCCUCGAGCCAGAACUCCGGCGUGCUCUGCUCGCCACCCCAACCGCCGCGGCCGCCAUCGCCGCCGGGGGGACCGGGAGCGCGAGCGCCCGAGAAGAUCGCCGGAUGGAGAUCGCCGCCCCUCACCAGGAUCCUCUCCUCUCCCCUGCUCUGCUCGCCGGAUGGAGAUCGCCGCCCCUCACAUGCUCAACCGCGACUCGUCUUGGCGGCGGCGCAAGCAGCGGAGGAGACAACCGGACGGGAGAUUUCUCUUUCUUUUACGCGAUGCUACCGUUGCAGAUAUUACCGUUGGAGAAAUAUAUGGGACGGUGUACCGUCUCAACGGUAUAGUGUAUAAAUUCUACUUAUCCAUUACUCACUAAGGCUGUAUUCGGAUGCCCAUUUUCCCAACUCAUCUCUCUCGUUUUCCACGCGCACGCUUUUUAAACUGCUAAACGGUGUGUUUUUUGCAAAAAGUUUCUAUACGAAAGUUGCUUAAAAAUCAAAUUAAUCCAUUUUUGAAAAAAAAAUGCAAAUACUAAAUUAAUCACGUGCUAAUGGACCGCUCCGUUUUUCAUGCCGGACGGGAGUGUUACCAACCAGGAGGAGCGAACACAGCCUAAGGGGGUGUUUAAAAGGGGUGUAAAGUUUUAGCCGGUCACAUCGAUAUACGGACACUAAUUUGAAGUAUUAAAUGUAGACUAAUAAAAAACUAAUUAUAGAAUCCGCCUGUAAACGGCUAGACGAAUUUAUUAAGCCUAAUUAAUUCGUCAUUAGCAAGUAUUUACUGUAACACCACAUUAUCAAAUCAUGGCGCAAUUAGACUUAAAAGAUUCGUCUAGCAAUUUACAUGCAAUCUAUGUAAUUAAUUUUUUUUUGUUUAUAUUUAAUACUCCAUGUAUGUGUCCAAGCAUUCGAUGUGAGAGAGUAUAAAAUGUUGCUAGGAGAUCUCAAUAGGCCCGGAUAUUUAUAUUUAAUACUCCAUGCAUAUGUCCAAACAUUCGAUGUGAGAGGGUGUAAAAUUUUGCUAGGAGAUCUAAACAGACCUGGAUUCUUUUUAUCUCUGAAAACGUGUUGUGUGCUGUCCUUUCAUAUUGGAGACCCUCAGGUCUACAUCGACUAGUGGCAGUGCUCUUUUCUCCUACGAUACAAAAUAGCUAUGCAAUACUCCAAUACGACACUACCCGUACACCUCUUUAGGUUUACAUGGGUCGAUCCGAUGGUCAUAGGUAUCAGACUCGAUAACUCGCUAUCUCAUCUGCUAUUCAUAGGUAUCAUACUCGGUACCUCGGUAUUCAACCCAAUAUUCAAACCUAGUAACUGGGUAUCAGAUCUGAUACUCAUGGGUAUCAGACGUGGACACGUGGUACUAUUGGAAGCUGCCAUGUCGCGCCUGCGCCGCCUGCGUCGCGUGCCCCAUACCGCUCCCACGCGCCUCGCCUGCCGCACCUCCCCAAAACGGAAGGAGCAAGCUCCCCUUUCCACCGUCCUCCAUUUCUUUUUCCCUCCUGGACAUUGGUUUCUCUCUCCCACCUUUGUCUCCUUGCUCUUGGAGGCAGAGUGCCCUGACGCCGCUGAUGCCAGCCGCCAGCUCGUCGCGCCCCACCUUGAACUAGCCGAGCUGCCCCUCCCGCACUCACGAUUCAAUUCAUGCCGCCCGAUCCACCGACCUCGCCAUCCAAACGCAUCCACGCCGUCGCUCGAUUUCAGGUUACCCACGAACCGCCAUUGCCGCUCGCUAGCCGAGCGCCAGUCAAGCGCCUCCUCGCCUAUAAAAUCCCAUCCCGAGCCCCUUCCUUCCCGCUGUUGCACUGUGUCUAUGGCCACGUGCGCCUCAGUGUCGGCCUCGUCAACCUCGGAGCUGCAGCCGUCUCGUCGCCGUCUUCCUCCUGCUCCUUCCCGGCGCGCUCGCCUCGGCAUCAAGUUCGCCGCCAGGCACCACCACUCGGCCGACGCAAUUCUGCCCCGUCGAGCCGCGUUCGCCGUCGCAAACACCAUCCUCCGUGGAGCCCGGCCGCCCUCCCCGCUGGCUUCCCGCCCUUCUCACCAUCGGGCCAUCGUCGCCGACACCGUUCCUCCUGUCGGUGAGCUCCUCACCUUCCUUUUUCGCCGUCCCCGCACUCGCCUAGCUCGCUGUGCGCUCUGUUUCCGCAUCGCCGCCUUCUUCCUCCUCGUACCGCACGCUAUGCUGCGUCCGCCACCACGCAGUCGCGCGCCGUCGUUGGCCCUUUUCUCUCGUCGAACCAGUUCGUCGUCGCCCUCCCGUAACUCCUCGCGCCCCCUCUCUGUUUCCCCGGUGACGCCCCUCUCAGUGCUGUGCCGCCCCGCCGUAGCUCUGCUUCCGCCGCCGUCGCCGGCCGGUCUCUCGCCGAUUUCUUGCGCCGCGACCCUCCCCGUGUCCCCUUGAACCUUCUCAGACCGCCACCCCAGUCGCCCGCCUCGCCGGCUGCGCUCGGGCCAUGCCACCCAUCCCGCCGUCGCCGGCCGCCUCUCCCUCAUCCGAGCCGGUGGAUGGGACCGCCCUUACCCCCUCUCGCUUCCGGUGCCCGCCGCCCACUCCGGUUCGCCGCCGCUCGCCGGAAUUCCUCGCACGCCGUGGACCGUUGGAUCCCCGGUCGGCCUCACCACCGCUUCCCUCUCUCUCCUAUGCCCGCGUGGUGGCCACGUCGUAGCCACCUCGGCUUGACCGAGUCAAGCUGACCCGGUCAGCCCUCACCCUUCCCGCAGCCAUGUGCGCCCGCGUCGUGUGCCUGGGCCGCGCUCGCCCCACCGGCCCGCAAUAGCUCGGCCUCGCUCCACCAGCCUGCCCCGCGCCGCGUGGGUCAUGCUCAGCCGGCCCACUCGCCCCGCGCCUCAGCCCGCAACCGUCGCGCCCCUCUUAGGCCGUCUCCCACACACGCGCGCGCCAGCCCAUCGGUUCGGCUGCGCUGCGCAAGCCACCUGGGCCGCACCAAUGCCACCCUAAACAAGUCCAAUAUACAUCCCUCCUUGAUUUCCUUUCCCAAAAGGAUUUGAUAAAUCAUUUUUCCUUUGUUCCAUAAAUCAAUUCUUUAUUCUGAAAUUCCAUAAAUCAUUUCCCUUGGCCCCGCACGUCAGUGACUGUCAAUAAUAUUCUGGAGAAUAUUAUUUCUAUAAAUUCCACAAACCAUUUCUCGUAUUCCAGAAAUUCCAACUAAACUUCCAAAAUUCAUAUCUCGCAAUUCAUAACUUCGAUUGACUCCAUUCCACUUCCAGUAACCCUCUAAAAUUGAGAUCAAUCUAAUGGCACUAUUAUUUAGUCCAAAUAGGAUCUUUUUCUUGGUCUUUUGUUUAGGUUGUCGAUUGUUUGCGUAUAGUUGCGAUUACCGGAUUUUCGUCAAUCGCGGGAUUUCUCGAAGAUUCGUGAAGCUUCGUGAAGACCUUGAGCAAGGCAAGUCACCCUUUAAUCAAUUGCUCCUAUAAUUGGAAAGUCAUUAUUAUUUUGUCUACAACUUGCAUUAUUAGAAUCACACACUUAACUUGCUUGGCCUCGGUUUGCGUGCCAAACCGACGGACCUACCCAGUAGUCGCACUAAUUCCUGUAGGCCGUACCACCCUGAUUCCUUGUUGCUCCACCUUUGUGGUACUUCGGUAUCCGUGCUCUCUGAGCGCAUAUACUAACUAUUCCACAUACACCAUUGUUUGUCGAUAAUUUGGGAAGUGGGUUUGAGAAGCCUUGAAAACCCGACAUGUGGUGUUGGCGUGUUUGAAAAUAAAAUAAAUUGUGAAAACUCACGAUGCGGGGGUUGUGCCUAUGUGGCAUUGUCCCGUAUUCGCAUAUAAGGACUGAUUCCUGUGGGAAAUUCAUCCGAGCAUAUAAUAAGUGUGACCACACGGGUGCAAUAGGAUGCCCCUGGCUAAGUAAAUAGCAAACCAAGGAAGCCUUGAUGCCAAGAGACAAGUGGAUUCAACAGGGUGGUGUCGACUUUCGAAAUGCAUUGUCAUGAAAGCCUUAGGAUCUCCCGACGUGGCUGAUCUCACGGGCUGGGUGAUCCGGGUUAGUAAUGUCGUGUGGGUAAAGUGUACCCCCUCUGCAGAGGUUAACUAACUGUUCGAACAGCCGUGCCCACGGUCAUGGGCGGAUAUGAGGUGUUUCCUAUAGCAUAGAUUUGUUUGUCAGUGCUUUGUGAAAAAUUGUUGUGGUGUGGGAAUCGUCACCAGAAUCAGCCUAUAUGGCAGAUGGAUGACCUAUGUGGUCUGAAACGAAUCUGUGUGCUUCGGGAUGUCUGCGGGCAUCAUAGACUAGGCUUCCUGAGUGGAAGCAAAUUGUUGUGCUGCUGGGCAGCUGGACUCUGGGAGUUCGAGAAAAUGAAAAAGGCUCUGGGAGCCGAUUAAUCAAGUUAAAUGGCUCUAGGAGCCGAGAAGUAAUGAUCUGACCCGGGAGGUCGGUACAUUACGAAUUGAGUUGUUGAAAAACAUCUCUUAAAGUAGAAUCGAGACGCAAGUCUCUUUUCGGCCCAAACUUAGAAAGAAAUAAAUCACUUAGUGACUUCAAAAUGAUUUCAAACAAAGGAUUUGCAAAACAACCUUGCCUCUCUUCCAAGCUUGCAUCAAACACCUAAGUUCCCGUGACUUGCUGAGUACGAAAGUACUCGCCCUUGCUCUAUACAAAUAUAUAUAUAGUUCCUCCGCUGUGAAGUUGAAGAUGAAGUGAAGUGAAGAAUAGGGUUUCAUCCUGGUUCCCAGCCGUCGCCUGUGGUGUUGGGUGUUAGAUCGUUGGUUCCGCUGCUGCUGUUGUUGUUGGUGUUUCCUCGUCCGCGUCGUCGGAUGCAUUCUCGGGCUGUCCUGAGUUGCAACUAAGUUAAGGUAAAUAAGUCCUCUAUUUAUUUUAAGGAUUGCAAUGAUUCAUAUUUGUCAUCGUGGGUACCAGCGCUAUGUCCUGGGACUGGUACUGAGAUCGCGGUUUCGUAGGAAGCGGUUUGCGCCGUUUUCCCUACGACACGCUCCUGUCAGGUGCCGUUGUACGGUGAUACUAGAUUGGGGUGUGACACCCACCAACUAAAACUAGCCGUUGGGGGCGAAAUCCCCCAACUCAGUGUACUGUCGGUUUGACCGGAGGUGUGUGGCUGGUCAUACCGUGCUACUGUGCAACGUCUAGAUUUCUAGCCGUUGCAAGGCUGACAUUGGGCCCCAACUGCCUGGCCAGUCAGACCGCAGUUGGGUGGCCGGUCCGACCAACCUCGGCUCUGGCGGCUCUGGAUCGGCCGCCCAGAGCGCUGCCGCCGGCCACCAGGGGGCCGGUCAGACCGGCCGACAUGCCCCGGUCAGACCGCCACAUAGCGACCGGCCACUGUGUGGCGGUUUGACCGCCCCUGGUCACUCACCACAGCAACAGCAAGAUACAAUGAUAUGAAAAUAAGCACAAGUCUAAAUGCAAACAUGACCUAGCGUGGCAAUUUAAAUCAUCUCUUUGCUAGGUCAUUACCCCUCUUAAUAGUACGGCGAAAGCUAAAAAUAAACUAGCAAAUUUGAUCGCCCUACACCUCGACUAAUUUAAAAUUAAAGCAUUUCUCCACCGUUGGAUGUGGGGUUUGGCAGGGACGCUCCAGAUCUUCUCUUGAUGGCGGUUGAGGGGUACUUCGGACAAUUCCCCUUCCACAACCAUCAUAACCACCUCUUUAUAAGGAGCUCACUCUCUUCACUUAAAGACACACCUCAAGCAAGAGCUCUCUCAUUCCUCUCAAGUUUAGUUUAGUAGUAUCUAGCUGGUGGAAUAGAAUUAGAAUAGGAAUCAGGAGUCCGAAAGUCUUCGGAAGAGUUCGGGUAUGGCUUUAGUAGCUUUCCUUUCCUCUUUUGUAAGCUUUGUACUUUUAUUAGAAUACUCUUCUAUAUACAUUUCUGGUAUUGAAAUACUUUUCGAGUAUAUGAGUACCAACUUUACAUUAUGUUCUUGUUAUACUGAGUAUAUGGCUAGCUUAUCUGGGAGAUGCUUUGGUGCGGGUAUAGUGUUUGCUUAUGCAAUUACUCUAUAUCAUGACGAUGAUAUUAGAGUAGUAUCUGGUAGUUUAGACGUGGUGUCUAGAUUACGGGAUAUCAUUAUUUGAGGUUAUAAAUUGCGGAUGAGAGGUGGGCCGCUGAUGGUGAUAGCUCAGUACGGGUAUUCCUCUGCGCCUAUAUAUAAUCCUAAGUUAAUUUCCUGGGGAGGGUAUUCCUCCAUAUUUAGCCCCGAUUGGAUGGUCAUGAUGAGCUGUCGUAAGGAACUCGGCAGUCAGGGGUGGCUUCUCGAAGUACUAGGAUGACAUCGGAUAGAGGGUAUUAGCCAGUAUGUAUACUAGGUAUAUUAGAAGUAUAGGAAUAGAUUUCCUUUCUCUUUUCUUUCCACCUAGUUUAGAUUAUUUAUUAUGAGGAUGAGUAGGUAAUGCUUGUGUGUCACUCUACACUUGGAUUAUCAUAACACCUGCUUAAAAUAUGAUUAUCACAAGUAACAUAUAAAUUAUUAGUUGAGUUCUCUCUACAAGAUCUUCCCACAGGAUAAAAUAAAUACGAUACCCUUGGAAUACUCUCGGGUGAAAUGCUACAAUGGUAUAUCCGUGCGCUUGCGGAUGAACUCUGUAACCAUAAUAUACCAGAAGUAUUUCUGCGCCAUUGUUGGGAAUUAUAUUUCUAGUAAUGUCGUUAAGAAAUACCAACAACCAUCUUCUUUUCUUUGCUUUGCGCCAUCAAAUUUUAAUCCAUCGGUAGUCAUCCAUGUGCACACAUGAUGUGAACCUAACUCAAAACUUAUAACUCGAUAGAACGGUUAGUCCACAAUUAGCGCUUGUCAUUAAUUACCAAAACUAACAACGGGGGCCUAGAUGCUUCACAGGGACGAUUUUGAAACUCGACGACAAGAUAAGGGACCUCAAGUGGACCUUUUCCUUUCAUCUCUCAUUUCUUUUUCUUUUAAGAAUUGCAAAGAUGCACGUGCGUUGCGAUGGGAAAUCCAAAUUACAUAUGUUACUUCUUUUGUGUACGGUGAGAGUUAAUGAUGCAUAUUUGGGGGCCUUUUUUUCACGAACCUGGGUGGGUCUCAUGCGCGUCAUGGAUGCUGUGGGUUUCACGUAGAGAUAAUCGAUACCUAAACGUAUAUUUACCUAUUGGUUCUAGGCAUAAAGAUUUUUUUUUGUUGCAAGGGCACUAUAAAAAAUGAUUUUUUGCAUUUGACUGGAACCCUGCUAGGUCUAAAGAUUUUUUUUCGCUGUAAGGGCACUUAUCAUUUAAAAAUUAUUUUCAGUAUCUUUUCAUAUGGGUAGUGCAAACCGCGUGCGAAAAUGUUAUCAUUCUUGUGUGCAUAGAAAAUUGAGCUCAUAUCUAUAUUGGAAUUGAAUAUUUAUCCUCCUAUAGUUUUUUUAUUGAUAUACAAUUACUCCCUAUAUUUCUGUAACAGCCCUAAAAUUUGACAACUUUUUAAAACCGAUUUAGUUUGCUUUGAUUCUCUAAAAAUAUAACUGUCGAGUUAGUAGUUUAUUUAAAAUAUUAUUUUCCAUGUUUGUUUCCGGUGUUUCUUUUCUCGUUUAAUUUUGUCGCAAAGUGCGUAUCAUCCCUCAAAUAAUUCCUUUAAUCCGAUUUAAUUCUAUCCCGAAUGUUGGACCGUCUAAAUUCCACAUCAAUUCAAAUCCUAUUUAUUUUAAUCUUCCCCAUAUUUUCCUUUUCCCUAUUUCCACCUUAAUUUUCUUUUUCCAUUUUUUUUCCUUUCUCUUUCCCUCUUUCUCUGUUUUUCUUCCUCUCUCCGUUUUUCCUUUUAUUUCUUCCUCUACUCGGCUAGGCUGAGCCAGCGCCUGUGCCGCCCCGUGUUGCCUCGCGGCAAUCCCGCGCUGCGCUCAUGCGCGCUCGCGCCCAGCUCGUGCCAGCCCGCGCACGCCACACGCCCGCACGCUCUCGCACGAGGACGAACGACGAACGAAUGCCGCCACGACACCUCCAGCUUCCCGCCUCCGUAUUUCCUUCGUCUCUCAACUAGAAGGCUCAAGACCGGAGGCAAAAGAAUCCGCCCCAACCACCGUUGACUCAAUCGUCGGCACCGGAGGAAAAAUCCCCAAAACACGCCAUUGAUUGAGCUUCAAAAUUCGUCGCAUACGUCGCAAAUCCUCAGAAAUUGAAGGUAAAAUUGGAUUCUCCAUGACGAGUACUCCCUUCCCCCUCUCUUUACCCAUCCAAUUCAUCGCCGGAAUGUCGCAAGCGUCGCCUCCCGCCGCCACUGCUCUGUUCGGCCGCCGCCGGCCACAUGGCGCGCCGCCGCUCCAGGCCACCCUAACUUCGGCUAUCGCCACCCUCGGACUCCUCUAGCCUUAGUGAACUUCAUCAGGCCGCCUCCCUUCUCGGAGUUCGCCGGAGUCGCCUCCGCCUCCCGUUUCCGCCCACCGCCACCAGCCUCACCGUCGGCGUUUCUCUCGCCGUCAACCAUAAAAACGGAAUCGCCUCAACCCGUAGAUCACAAAACCGGCACCCCCUUGUCCAAAACCGGCCUCCUCUGCCACCGGCAAUGUGGGAUUCCGGCCUGUUCCUGUGCAGAGAACGAGAAGAACAGGAAAUCCGAUUUUCCUGUUGAAAAAUAAAUAAGAAAAAUCAUUUUUAUUUUCCUAUCAAGUUGACAUCUGUUUGACCUCGAAAUCGAAAUCCGAGACCUAUAACAAACUCCUAGAAUUAUUCUGAAUCCAUCCGUGUCAGUUUCGUUGCAAUCCGAGCACCCGUUGACGCCACCCUAAUUUUAGCCCUAGGGUACGCCUAACGGAGCGUGGGGCUCCUCACCGGGAGACCGCGCAGGCCCCCCUUUGCCGGUUCGGCCGGGGGCGCUAAGUGAGGUUCUUCGCCCUCGAUCUGAGGAAUGUCAGCGAGAGAGGAAGCGCACAAGACACGGGCGACGUAGACAGGUUCGGGCCGCUGAGAAGCGUAACACCCUACUCCUGUGUUCUGGUGGAUCUGUGUGUGAAGGAAUUACCGAGAGCUGGAGAGCUAGAGAGAGUUCCGCUCCAGCACCCUCUUUUUCUUCUCUUUUCUUUCUUAGGCCUGGGCCUCCUUUUUAUCUGGUUAGGGGUCACCACAUGGGCCUCUUACUGCCUAAGAAGGGAAACAUGCUUUUUACAAUGAGGGCUAGUCUACAGCCGGAAGUGACCUCUGACAAGCAGAGCACACGCCUUCUGCUCCGCUCGUCCGCUCUCCCGGUGGACGCCCGUUUCAACCUUCAUUUAAUGGCCAGCGACUUCCUUGCUAUACUUGCGCUGAAGCCUGGAAUGGAUCUGACCGGGACUGACAUACCAACUCAGGAGUUAGCACGCCGGCUCCGGCUAGGGACGAGAGCCAGGAAGCUCUCAUCAUUCCGACGGGACGGGGCGAGGCGUGCGACAGGCCGCCUGUUGCCACCUAACCCGCGAUCUGACCGGUCUGUGACCGGUCACACACUGCGACCGGUCAUGGACCGGAUAAGCAUGCGCUGCGCCGCAUUGAAUGCGGCGUGGCGCGCGCGUCUGACCCGCUAUAAAUGCGGUUAGGUGAGCGCCGCUGUGCUCACCUAACCCACACACGUGGCGCCAACACCACAGGGGGGUCGGGGCGCCCCAGCCCUCGGGGCCGAAACGGGAGCGGCCCGACCCCUCCGGGAGACAGAGGGAGGGGUGGCCACGUCACCCUCGGGCCCGACCCCCCCGAGGGGGUCAGGCCACGUGGGUGACCGUGGCUCCCCAAGCCUCUAGUAAUGAUACCCCCGGCCCCAUGUCACCGACAGUAGCCCCCGGCGUUACGUCAGGGCGAUCGCCCCCCUCGAGGGAAGCGCUCGGGCGUGACGUCACUCCUUAGGCCCGGUGACAGGUGGGGCCGGUCUCUACAGGCGGGCAGAAACCCAGCGGUCGUAAAUCGCGUGCAUCGGUAAGGGAAAACCGACCGAUAAUAAUGAGCGGCCUCUUCAAGACCGCUACAUUACUCGAGCAGCGCGCGAAUCGGGACGAGCCGGUUCGUUUCGCCUGGAGACAUGAUGAUGGCGUUUUUCUCGGUUGGCGAGCGCAGUUAAUGCGCGCACGAUCUGCCCCAUCUCAACCGCCACGGCCACACAUCUGCCGCGCGCGCCGCAAACGGGCGAGUGGGGUUAGUGGAGGCGUGGGCGCGAGAAACGAGGGGGCGAGGUAGUGGGCGCGGGAAGCGAGGAGACGGGCAUAGCGUUGGCAAGGGAAUAAAGACGCCGAGGAAGGGAUUCGUUUCCUUCCCCUCGCCACUCUUCCCCUUGCCUUCGCCACUUGCGCUCUAACUCUUCGUUUCCUGUGCCCUACCCUUGCCGCACUCGCUCGCUCUCAAGCUCCUCCUCCGCCGGCGUCAUGGCACGGGGCUCCGCACCGCUCGAUGGUAGCGUGCUGCCGCCUUCCCGUAUCGUGAGCGAGAGGCAGGCCGGGCUGCCGCGCCGAUUCAUGCCGGAAUCUGCCGCCGGCCGGGAGGUGGUCGCGCUGGGCGAGGGACGCCCGGCGCCACACUACCCGGGGCGGUCCGUCUUCUUCCUCUCUUUCGCAAUGGCGGGGCUGGUCCCGCCAUUCUCUGCUUUUUUCAUGGAUAUUCUGGAGUUUUACGAUCUCCAGAUGGCGCACCUAACCCCCAACGCGAUAAUGACGUUAGCCAUCUUCGCACACCUGUGCGAGAUGUUUAUCGGGGUGCGCCCAUCUCUCCGGCUGUUCCGGUGGUUCUUCACCGUACAGCCGGUGUCGCCGCCGACGGUAGUUGGUGGCUGCUACUUCCAGCCGCGGGGGCAGGUGCUGAACCGCUACAUUCCCUGCGUUCUCCGCAAGAAGUGGGACGACUGGAAGAGCGACUGGUUCUACACCCCCCUCGCCGACGAAGCGCGCCUCCGACUUCCGAGCCAGCCCCCGACGCAGGCCUCCAGCUGGCGGGCGACGGUAGAUCUGGGAGACGGCUAUGACACCGUUCUUGACCGCCUGGCGGGUCUGCGAUCCCAGGGGCUCACGGGGGCCAUGGUGUUCGGCGACUACCUUCGUCGCCGGAUCGCGCCGCUCCAACGGCGCUCCCGGGGCGCCUGGGAGUACACCGGGCCCGAGGACUACAUGAGGACCCACCAGGGACGCAAAUGGGACUGGGUCCCUGAAGACUUCAAGAUGGUGGUCCAACGGGUGCUGAAUCUCAGCUCCGUGGAGGCAUCCCUCAUCCCCCAAGGAGUCCUCCCCCUCUGCUGCGAUCCGGAGCGCGCCAACAUCCUGACCAUCAUGCAGGCGGUCGGGGCGUCGGGGGAGCGGGCCCCCCGAGGCCACGAUGGCGCGGGCGGGAGCCGCAGGGGGGAACCAUCUACCCCGGGAGGGGGUCGUGUUUCUGGGCCCCGCGACGGGGGCCCGGGGGGCAGCCGCCCUGCCGACGCCCGGGGGAAGAGGAAGCAGGAGGGUACCCCUCCCCCAUCUCCUCCCCGAGGGGGCGGGGCGGUGCGUGCCAGCAGCAGGCGCCCAGAGGGUGCCGUGCCGACGCUGCAGCCCGAGGGGGAGCGGAAGAAGAAGCGGCUCCGCAAGAUGGGGGGGACCGAGCCAUGCCGGGGGAAUCUCAUCUCGCCCCCGAGGUGGUCGUUUAGCCGACCUCCCCGCAGGUUCGUCCCCACGCCCACCGCGGCCGUAUUCAUUCUCCCAUCUCCCAAGGCGAGUUUUCACUCACCCGUUUCUUUUUGUCUUCUGGUUUUUCUUCUGCCUCAGCGAGAUCCCGUCGCCCCCCCCCCCCCGCCAUUCCAAGUCCGGCCGGUCUGAGGCCGAGGAGACGGCGACCGCGGAGGCCCGGAGGCAGGAAGCUGACCGGCGAGAAGCCGCGGACCGCCUCCGGGAAGCCGAGAAGGCUGCCCAGGAGGCCGUCCGGGUUCGCCAGGCUGAGGAGGCCGCUCGGGAGGAGGCCAGACUCCGCCGGGCCGGGGAGUCCGUCCGGGAGGCAGAAGCGGCGCGCGCAUGCCAGGCGGCCUGCCAAGCCCCCGACCCGACUCCGCCCGAGGCGACGACGACUUCCGAGGCCACCCACGACGAGGUCGCGGGCGCGCCGCUCGGGCCCGACCCCUCGGGCGACGCUUGGGACGAGCCAGCUUCGGGGGACGCCCCCGAGUCCGGCACGUCGAUCGGCGGGCCGAGUCGCGCGGCACCCACACCGAGGCGGCUCUCCCCUCUGCCUUCCGCUGCCCCAGUGAGCGCGGAGCCCCUCCUGCAGGCCUUGGCCGCCGCGAACAGCACGGUGCUGGACGGGUUAAGUGCCCAGAUGGAGGUCCUGCAGGUAGAGCGGGCGGAGCUCGACGCGGCAUGGGCGCGCGUCGAGGAGGGGCGGCGCUCGGUGGAGGCCAUGGUGGAGGCGGGCCGCAAGGCACACCGCCGGCACGCCUCAGAGCUCGAGGCCCGUCGUAGGGACCUGGCGGAGAUCGCUAGGGAGGUGGAGGAGGAGCGGGAGACUGCCCUCAUCGCCACCGCCGUGCUCGACGAGGCGCGGGACGACCUCCGCCUCCAAUACGGGAGCCGGGCGGCGGAGCUAGAGAAGAAGCUCGACGCCGCCCAGGGAGUCCUUGACGCCGCCGCUGCCCGGGAACGGCGGGCGGCGGAGAACGAGGCGGCGUCCCGACAGCGCGAAGAGGCCCUCGAGGCUCGCGCCACGGCGCUGGAGGAGCGCGCCCGCGCCCUGGACGCGAAGGAGAGAGACCUGGCGGACGGUGAGGCCGCCGUCGCCACCCGGGAGGCAACACUGGCGGCGCACGAGGCCGCUUGCGCCGAAGAGGAGUCCGCACUCCGCCUCCGCGAGGACGAGCUCACCGAGCGGGGGCGAGCUCUCGAGGAGGCCGAGGCUACGGCGCAGCGGCUGGCGGACAGCCUGUUCCUCCGCGAGGCAGCGCGGGAGGAGCAGGCGCGCCGCAAUCUGGAAGGCGCCCGCGCCGAGAGGGCCGCACUGGAUCAGCGGGCCGCUGAGCUCGAGGCGCGGGCGAAGGAGCUGGACGCGAGGGCUCACAGCGGCGGGGCGGCCGCGGGCGACGGCGACCUAGCCGCCCGCCUCACAGCCGCCGAGCACACCAUCGCCGGGCUGCAUGGCGCACUGGACUCGUCCGCCGGGGAGGUCGAGGCCCUCCGCUUGGCGAGCGAGGUAGGGCCUGGCAUGCUUCGGGACGCCGUCUCCCGUCUAGACCGCGCCGGGCGGCAGGCGGGCCUUUGGGGCGGGCGGACCGCGAAGUACGCCGCCAACCAGGGGGGCCUCGCCCAGCGCCUCUCAGAGAUGGCCGGGACCCUCCAGCGGCUCCCCGAGGAGCUCGAGGAGACGAUCAAGUCAUCCUCGAGGGACCUCGCCCGGGGGGCGGUGGAGCUCGUACUGGCAAGCUACCAGGCCAGGGACCCUGACUUCUCCCCGUGGGCAGCGCUGGACGAGUUCCCUCCCGGAACCGAGGACGGCGCGCGCGCGCAGGUCCGGGACGCCGCCGACCACAUCGUCCACAGCUUCGAGGGUACGGCCCCUCGGCUCGCGUUCGCCCUCGACUCCGACGAGGAGGGCGGUGACGACGGUGCGGACGACAGCGACGACGAGGCCGGCGACCCGGGCGCGUCGGAGUGAGCCCCCAGGGCCCCGCCAAUCUUAAUAACUUUUCCUUCUUCUUCCGAGGCCUUCGGGCCCCCUUCUUGUAUAGACUGAUUUAAUCUGUAAUCAAGUAAAGAGGAAAUUUCUGUGUCAAUUCUGUUUGUCGUGUGCAUGAGACGAGGAUGGUCUGUGCCGCAGUCCUUCUGUGUCUUGGCUUGAACAAGGGCUCGUGCCCAGGCCCCAGCCUCAAACGGCGCGGGUCGGGGCUAGUGCCUGGGGAGAUCCACGUGUCGAGACUGGCCAGGCCGGGAGCGCGGUUUGAGGCUAGUGCCCCGAUUGUGGGCCUUUGCCAAUUCCCCCCCGGAGUUCACCACGCCCCGGGGCACGGCUCGGUUCUGGGCCCCGUUUGGCGAUUUUAGCCGGCCCGGGCCACCGAGGGCAGGGUCGGGCACGAGCGUGCUAAUCCAAGCCAAGAUUCUUCAAAAGGGAACGAUGGCACAGACACAGUCCUCAGGAAAUCGAAAAUGCUUUUAUUGAAAUACGGAAGAGAAAAAAGAUAAGUAUAUGCAUGUGGUAGCCCCCGGCCAACCCUGCACGCCCGAGGGGGGGUGCGGGGUUCGCCCGAGCCCGAGACAUGACACCCGACCCCCACUAGGGGUAGAAGCGACGAAGGUGUUCGAUGUUCCACGGGUUAAGCAGCUCUGUGCCGUCGCCCGUGGCCAGCCGAACGGAGCCCGGCCGGGGGACGCCGAUCACUCGAUACGGACCCUCCCACAUUGGUGAGAGCUUGCUCAGUCCAGCACGCGUUUGGACGCGGCGUAGGACGAGGUCGUCGACGCAGAGUGAUAGGGCCCGGACGUGGCGCUGAUGGUAGCGCCGCAGGCUCUGCUGGUAGCGCGCGGCUCGAAGGGCCGCGCGCCGUCUUCGUUCUUCCAAAUAGUCGAGGUCGUCUCGGUGAAGAUGAUCUUGAUCAGCCUCGCAAUACAUGGUGACCCGAGGGGACCUCAGGGUGAGCUCAGAUGGGAGGACCGCCUCCGCGCCGUAGACGAGGAAGAAAGGCGUUUCCCCGGUUGCUCUGCUUGGCGUGGUUCGGUUCGCCCAGAGCACCGCUGGCAGCUCCUCGAUCCACGAGUCGCCGUGCUUCUUGAGGAUGUUCAAGGUCUUGGUUUUGAGGCCCUUGAGGAUUUCCGCGUUGGCGCGCUCCACUUGGCCAUUGCUUCUGGGGUGGGCGGGGGAGGCGAAGCAGAGCUUGAUGCUCAUGUCUUCGCAGUAGUCACCGAAGAGCUCACUAGUGAACUGGGUGCCGUUAUCCGUAAUGAUACGGUUAGGCACCCCAAACCGAGCAGUGAUGCCCCUGAUGAAUUUAAGCGCGGAGUGCUUAUCGAUCUUAAUGACCGGAUAAGCCUCGGGCCACUUAGUGAACUUGUCGACAGCGACAUACAGAUACUCGAACCCGCCCGGGGCCCGCCUGAACGGACCCAGGAUAUCGAGCCCCCAGACAGCAAACGGCCACGAAAGAGGUAUGGUCUGCAGGGCCUGGGCCGGCUGAUGGGUUUGCCUGGCGUGGAACUGGCACGCCCUGCACCGCCGGACCAGGUCGACCGCAUCGUUGAGAGCCGUUGGCCAAUAGAAACCCUGGCGAAAGGCCUUGCCAACCAAGGUGCGUGAGGCGGAGUGGGCUCCGCACUCGCCUUCAUGGAUAUCGGCGAGAAGCUCGACGCCUUGUUCCCGAGGAAUGCACUUCAGGAGGACUCCGUUAGCCGCGCACCGAUAGAGGGUCCCCUCCACCAGCACGUAGCGCUUGGAGAUGCGCCGGACGCGUUCACUCCCUUCGCGGUCCUCGGGUAGAGUCAUAUCUGCGAGGUACGCCUGGAUCUCAGUGAUCCAAGCAAUCAACCUAGGGGAGCUGGGAGCGCUCCCCUCGGGUCCCGAGGCCUGGACUCCGACGGGCCUCGGGGGCCGUUCAGGCGCGUCCGUCUCCCCUAGGGGGUCGGGUCGCGCCGACGGCUGGGCAAGCCUUUCUUCAAAGGCGCCCGGUGGGGUCUGGGCUCGCGAGGAAGCGAGCCUUGAGAGUUCGUCGGCGACCGCGUUAUCCCGUCUGGGCACGUGCCGAAGCUCUAUCAAGUCGAAAUGGCGCUCCAUACGCCGCACCUGGCGCACGUAAGCGUCCAUCUGCGGGUCAGAGCAUCGGUACUCCUUGGAGACCUGGUUAACGACCAACUGGGAGUCGCCUAACACCAGGAGGCGGCGGAUCCCCAGUCCAGCUGCCACUCUGAGUCCCGCAAGGAGUCCCUCGUACUCCGCCAUAUUGUUGGUCGCCCGAAAGUCGAGGCGGACCAGGUAUCUGAGGACGUCUCCGCUCGGCGAGGUCAACGUGACCCCCGCACCGGCGCCCUGAAGAGACAGGGAGCCGUCGAACUGCAUCACCCAGUAGGCGGUGUGGGGCAGCUGCGAGGGGCCCGAGCUGGCCUCGGGAGCGGGGACGGGCUCGGGAGCUGGGGUCCACUCCGCCACAAAGUCGGCGAGGGCCUGGCUCUUGAUCGCGUGGCGUGGUUCAAAGCGCAAAUCGAAUUCAGAGAGUUCGAUUGCCCAUCUCACCACCCGUCCAGUACCCUCUCGGUUAUGCAAGAUUCGGCCGAGGGGGUAAGACAUAACCACCGUGACCCGAUACGCCUGGAAAUAAUGGCGCAACUUCCUCGAAGCCAUCAGAAUAGCGUAAAGCAUCUUCUGGGCCUGGGGGUAUCGGGUCUUGACGUCCCGGAGGGCCUCGCUAACGAAGUAGACGGGCCGCUGCACCUUUCGGCGGGGCCGAUCCUCUUCGCCUGGGGCCGCAUCUCCAGGGCGCUCUUCGUCCGAGAGGCCGCGCGGGGCGCACUCGGCUUCUGUGCCGACGACCUCGGGGUCAGAGGCGACAGGCGCGGCCUUCCCGCAGUGGCCCCGGGGCCAUCCUGGGGGUCGGGGGCGCCUGGCACCGUCGGACAAGCAGGCGGAGGGCCAACUCCGGCCGUUGGGGGCCUCGGGCCGCCGUUCGGCUCGGGGGCCUCUCCUCCCUGCUCUCUCCCGGGUCGAGUCGACACAGGGUGGGGAUGCGCGGAGUGAGGGUUCUCCUCGUCGCGCUCCACGACCAACGCCGCGCUGACCACCUGCGGGGUUGCCGCCAGGUAGAGUAGCAACGGCUCAUCUGGCUCCGGGGCGACCAGGACUGGGGGAGAACUGAGGUACGCCUUCAACUGAGUGAAGGCCCUCUCAGCCUCCUCCAUCCAGGUAAACGGCCCGGAGCGUUUGAGGAGCUUAAAUAGGGGUAGCGCCUUCUCUCCCAGCCUUGAUAUGAACCGACCUAAGGCGGCCAUGCAGCCGGUGACGCACUGCACAUCCUUAAGCUUGCUGGGGGGGCGCAUCCGCUCUAUAGCUCGUAUCUUCUCGGGGUUGGCCUCGAUGCCUCGGGCAGAGACCAAGAACCCGAGAAGCUUGCCCGCAGGCACGCCGAACACGCACUUAUCGGGGUUCAGCUUUAUGCGGGCGGAGCGGAGACUUUCGAAAGUUUCCGCUAGAUUCGAGAGUAAGGUCUCUUGGUUGCGCGUUUUCACAACCAAGUCAUCAACAUAGGCCUCAACAUUACGUCCUAAUUUGCUACCCAAAGAAAUUCGAGUAGUACGUUGAAAAGUAGGACCUGCAUUCUUUAACCCGAAAGGCAUUGUCGUAUAACAAUAAGUUCCUAUGGGGGUAAUGAACGCAGUUUUUUCCUCAUCCUCCCUAGCCAUGCGAAUCUGAUGAUAACCAGAGUAUGCAUCUAGAAAACACAAAAGGUCGCACCCCACGGUGGAGUCGACAAUCUGAUCUAUGCGUGGCAGGGGGUAAGGGUCCUUAGGACAUGCCUUGUUAAGGUCGGUGUAGUCGAUGCACAUCCGAAGCUUGCCGUUCGCCUUGGGAACGACGACCGGGUUCGCCAGCCACUCCGGAUGGAUGACCUCACGUAUGAAUCCGGCCUCCAGAAGUCGCGCCACCUCCUCGCGGAUGAAGGCUUGACGUUCCGGGGCCUGCCGCCGCACUUUCUGCUGGACCGGCCUUGCACCCGGCCGCACGGCGAGACGGUGCUCAAUCACCUCCCUGGGGACCCCGGGCAUGUCCGCCGGUCUCCAGGCAAAGACGUCGGCGUUUGCCCGCAGGAAGGAGACGAGCGCGUCUUCCUAUUUGUCGUCCAGAAGACCACCGAUUCGUGUGGUCUUGGACGGGCCGUCGCCCAGGGCAACCUCCUUGACCGGGACCUUGUCGCACGUGACCAUCCGCCGCCUUGGGGCGGCCGGGACGGAGGUGCUGAGCCUCUCGUCUCCACCCGCGGGCUUGGACGCCGCGGCGAGGUGGUCCGCGCGCUGCUCCAUACAAGCAAGCGCGACUUUGAGGUCGCCAUGGACGGUGAUGGGGCCACCGGGGCCCGGCAUCUUCAUCUGGAGAUAGGCGUAGUGGACCGCCGCCAUGAACUUCACCAACGCGGGCCUCCCUAGGACCGCGUUGUAGGGCAGACUGAGGUCCGCCACAUCGAAGUCCACCCGCUCCGUGCGGAAGUUGGCGGAACCACCGAAGGUGACCGGGAGGUCGAUAUGACCCAGCGGCCAGGUGUGCCCCGGCGUCACACCGAUGAUCGGCUGGGACGGCCGGAGCACCAUCCCCGGGGCCUUGAUGGCGUCAAAGGCUGCGGGGGAAAGGAUGUUGAGGGCUGCACCCCCGUCUAUGAGGACACGCCCCAACUUCACAUUGCAAACGGUGGGGGAAACCACCAUCGCGAUCUGUCCUCCCCGGGCAACGCACGGCGGGUGGUCGGUCUGGUCGAAGGUGAGGGCAACCUCCGACCACCGCGCCCGCCGAGUCGCCUCAUGGGUAGGGGCCGCGGCCAGAAGCUCUCGCUUCAUGGCCUUGAGGCUCCGGCGAGAAGCGUGAGCGCACGCUCCCCCAUCGACGGUGGCGACGGUGGCCUCAGGCUCCUGGAACCCCAGGUCAUCGUCGCCAUCGUCGAUGUCCUCGGCGGGGGCCUUCUGCUUGGCCUCACCUCGCCGGUUGCCGGCGGGAGCCGCCGGGGCCUUGCCCUCACGGCGCUCCUGCCUCUUCUCCUUCUCCCACUUCCUCGUCCGCUCAGCCAAACUUUUGACUGCGCGGCAGUCCGCGAGGUCGUGGAGGGAGGUGUUGUGCACGGUGCACCACUUGCCCGUCGGGCGCUCCCUGCUGGGAGCGCCGGCCUCCUUCUUUUUGUCGCUCGCAGGCCUCCCCUUUCGGGGGGCCCGCGAGGCGCCCUCGACGGCGAGGACAUGACCCUCGUCGUCGGGACGGGCCGACCUCUUCUUCCUCCUCCUGUCCCGCCGCUCUGACCAAGCGGCGGACCCGGGGGCGACCGGAGCUGCCACACCAGAACCGGAGGAGUUCCAGGUCCAGGCCUCCUCCUUGCGAGCCACACGGUCCGCGAGCUCAAAAAGCUGCGCGGUGGUCUGGGGCUCCUUGGAGGCGAUCUUCUCGAGCAUGCGGUUGUGCCGCACGCCCCCCCUGAACGCGUAGAUCACCGCGUGUGCGGGGAUGCACGGUAUAGUGUUGCGGACUUGACAGAACCGUUGAAUGUACGAGCGAAGAGACUCAUCGUCCCCUCGCUGUACCGCAUGCAAGUCCGCUUCUUCGCCUGGGCGCGGAUAUGUGCCCUGGAAGUUCGUGGUGAACUGCUGGCACAGAUCCUCCCAAGAGUGGACCGACGCGGGUGGCAAGUUCAUUAGCCAACCCCGCGCCUGUCCCUUCAGGGCCAUGGGGAAGAAAUUCGCCAUGACCCUGUCAUCACCCCCGGCGGCCUCGAUCCCAGUCGUGUAGAUCUGGAGAAACUCGGCGGGGUUGACGCUUCCGUCGUAUUUUUCGGUGAUGGUGGGCCGGAACCUUGGGGGCCAACGGACGUUCCGAAGGCUCGCCACAAAGGCUCGACAGCCAGCACCGCCAACCGGGGACACGGGGGGCCGGCCCCCGUGCCCGGACCGAAGUGGCGCUUCGGACGAGGAAGCGCCCUCCGUUGCGUGGGCGGCGUGACGAGAGUCGCGCCGGCGCUCGAUAUCGAGGCGGGCAUCCGGCCCCCCACGCACAUCUUCUUGGGUCGGAGGCAUUGAUGAGGGAAUGGCGGACGAACGGCGGGUAACGGCCGCCGCUCGCCGCGCCCUCCGCCUCGACGACCUGGAGCCGGCGGCGGCAGCGCCAGAGGUCUCGGUGGCGGAGGACCGCCCGCCGGCGCUUAGGCGCUGCUGCGCCGUCAUGACCAAGUCGGCCACGUCAUCCAGCCAACGUCGGGCUGGAGUCUCUGGAUCGGGGACGACGGGCGGGUGACGCAGGAGCGCGCCCGCAGCCUGGAGCGCGCCCUGGGGCGUGCCGCCAUCGCCGUAGACGAGGCGGCGACGCGCCCCGUCUCGCCGUCUGUCACGCCCAGAAAUUUAGCCCAAAUUUCCAGACUAUUUUGUGUAUUAAAUCCCUGUCCAGGACCAGCCAGGGUACACAAAACGACAAGUAAUAAACAGUUCCAAACGUAAAUAACGCGUAAAAUACUUACAGAAGAGGCACUUAGUCCUCACACCGAAACAAAAGCAGCAGCAGCGGAAAAAGGCGAUCCUAGCGGGGCUUCAGCUCCACUCCACACGCAAAACUCAACUGGGGUCUGAGCCUUGGUCCUCUAACUCCAUCUUCAGCUCAGAAACACUACACUUCUGAAAAGGGGGAAUAAUAGCAAGGCUGAGUACAACCACCAUACUCAGCAAGCCACACCAACGAUGCAGACGUGCAAGGGGAACACAAGGACGGUUUAUGGCUAUUUGCAUAAAGGCGGUUGUAAAACAUUUUAUUGAGCAAAACAGUAAAACUGUUGAGUAAUUAAAGUAACAUUAAAUCUCCACUGAUCAACGCUACACCACGUUGAACAGGCCCAACCAACCCACCUGAACUACAGUGCAUUGAGUCGAUUUAUUAAGGUGGGACUAAUCACGGUGAAUCUGGUCGACCGCCCAUAACCGCGGGCACGGCUAUUCGAAUAGUUUUACUCUGAUCAGAGGUCUACAACUGUACCCACAAGACACAGCCCCACGACACGUUUCCGUGCGCCGACAUGCCACCACGACAUACCGGAAAGAGGCCGUGACAGGACCCUUCGCAUAACCCCCUCUAACCAAGCACACCACAUCUCAGGUUUCACCCCCACUCCUCGCAAGGCAGCGGGCAGUCCCCUCUCGUGCCUAGGUGAAUCCGGAAGCCACAUAGGCCGUCGCAGGGCCCAUCCAAACUCCAUCACGCCCACCCUUGCCUGGAUGCGUCGGCUAGAGGAAAGCUACACUACAAGCCCAGCCGUUGCCCACGCUGGCUUGUGGUAAGUACGAUAAGUUCUUCCAGGGCAUCCCGCGAACCGGUCCUUAACUGCCAUGGGUGCGACCAGCAAAACCAUGCACCCACAGCCCACCAUUCAGUUGCAUUUUAGUUGGAUAAUUACGACCAUGAAGCAUGGCCAGAUGUCUCGAGCACGCAGCUCAACAAGAUACUAGAAAGGUCUAAUACUGUAAUUAUCCCAUCAACUGAGCUAGUGGUAAUUAAGCAUGGCUAAGCAUAUAGUUCUAGCUAGGUCACAUAAGUAACAUGAGCUAGUCGAUUUAUUACCCCCGGUUGACAAAGGAUAGAUAUCAAGUAAACAUGGCACAAGCGAGCAGAUAGGUAAUACCCUGACCCCAUGUAAUUAGCAAAAUAUGCAUAUUUAUUUGCAAACAGUAAAACAUUUGUAAAUUGGGAUCAACAUGCUCAAGGGGAAUAUGUGACUUGCCUUGCUUAUUCACUUUGAUCUUCCGAACUCUUUUCCUCGCGACCGCGGACUUCCGAAACGACGGAAACUACACGCUGGCACGCAAAACGAGGACAAACUCUAAUAAAAACCAAGGAAACAGUACAUAAAAACUAAACAAACAUGUAGAGCUCAAUUUUAGAUGAAUUUUGCAAGUUGAAUGGCUCAAUUCGGAGUUCGAAUGAAUUAGAUAUGAAUUUUAGAAGUUUUGAGCCAUUUUAAUGGAUUUCUACAAUUAUUACCGAUUUAUUGCGCAAUUAUUAUUUAAUUUUUCAAAGGAAAAAGGCUAUGCUGACGUCAGCAAGGGGUGAGGCGCGGACCGCGUCACAAAGGGGCGGGCCCCACACGUCAGCGGCAAAGCCCACCGUGGACCGAGUCCACGGCGGCAGCCGGCCACGUGGGCGCGCACCCGACGCUCCGGAUCGGCCGGGGCCGAUCGGACGGCCGGGGGCGGCCGAGCGGCACGACCAGGCAGGCACGCCCACAGGCGGCGGCGACCGCCGAGCCUAGACCACCGGCGACGACGCCGGCGGCGAGCGGCGACGGCGCGAGAGGCGGCGAGAGAGUGGAGAGGGAGGCGGUUCUCACCGAGCGAAUGGGGCGGCGAGACGAAGACGAGGAGGUGGCCGGCGGCACGGAUUAGGCGGCGGCGGGCUCACCGGGGAUCGAAAGGAAUGGAGCACCGGUGGGUUUCCGGUGGUUUGGAGCGGCGACCGAUCUGUGGCUUGAAGCGGCCGAGCCGGUGAAGGAAACGGCACGGCUUGGCGGUGGCCAGGGCGACGGCAGAGGUGCGACUGGAGGCACAAAAGUGGCUGUGGCUCGGGUUCACCGUGGAGCGGGCGGCUCGGGGGUGGAAUGGAGGAGCGGCGUGGUGGCCGGGCUUGCCGGCGGAGCAGCGAAGCUAGUGGUGGUGGCAGCGCGGCAUGAGGUGGACGGGAACGGCGGCAAGAGGCUGCCGAAGGCGGCGAAACGGCGGCGGUGCUCGGGUGAGCGAUGGAAUCGGUGUUUUGAUUGUGGUUUGGGGAAACGGAGUUGCGGACGGUGUGCGACAAUGCGUGGCGAGGCCGGUGGCGCAAGCGGUGUGGCGCGGGGACGGCUACGGCGGCGGAGGUGGCCGGCCGAAGAUGGCAACCGGCGGCGGCGGAGGGAGGUUGGUGGUGGCGGAGUGGUUUCGGGCAUGGGGAAGCUUGGGAAAGAGGGGGAAACGGAGGAGGGGAGCCCGGGGAUCGUUUUUAUAGCCUCGAGAGUCGACGGGGAGGCCGGUUGGCGACGGAUUUGAAGGGGGAAAGGGGCGCCGGCGACGUGGGUGAGUGGGGGCAGUUUGGCGUCGGUUUUGGAGGGGAGAAGUGGGGGAAAUGGUGGAGGAAGGGGAUGACGUGGGGUGGACCGCGCCCACACGCGCGCGGGAAUCGGAAGACGCGCGGGGAGGGGCGGCGACGUGGGCGGCUCGGGCGGCCAUGGCAGUUGCCGGCCCGGGCUGGAGGUUGGGGAUGACAGGUGGGGCCCACGGGUCCCACCUGUCGGCCUGAGUGAGAGGGGAGGCCGGGAGGGAGGAUAAGCAGACUUGCGCCAAAAGGGGAGGCAAGCCGGGCCGCGGGAGGGGAAGGAGAGAGGAUUUUGGGCCGAGCCCGAAAGGGAGGAAGGGGAAGUUUAUUUUGUUUUCUUUUUAUUUAAAUUAGUUUAAUGAACUUUGUGACUUUAAAAUUAUUUCUUGAACUCCGAAAAUUCACGGAAAAAUCCGGAGAGUAUUUUAGGGCACAAAGAAUAUUGCAAAAUAUUCCCGGCCAAUGAUUUUUAAGGGAAAAUUUUAAUUCUCCCAUUAUUUCACUUGAUUAAAUUGAUUUAACUUUUAUUUAAUUUCUAGAAAAUGCAUUAUUUAAUGAUUUUUAAACCCGAACGAAAAUCGGGGCGUUACACCGUCCUCCCCCGUCGCCCGCGGGCGGCGAUGUCGCGGAUCCUCUGACCUCCCCGAGCGCCUCUCCCCGCCCAAGAUUUCGGCGAGAGGGGACGGUGGGGUGCGAGCCCGACGGCGCGGGUUCUGCUCCCCGUCGUCACCGCUAGCGUUCGGAGAGAGGUUGUGCGCCACUGCCCGUUCGGCCAUUGGGCUGAGCGGGAGAAGCUUGGCGCACACGAAAGAGGACGAGGGCUUAGAAAGACACGCGCGCCCCCUACCUGGCGCGCCAGAUGACGGAGCGUGGGGCUCCUCACCGGGAGACCGCGCAGGCCCCCCUUUGCCGGUUCGGCCGGGGGCGCUAAGUGAGGUUCUUCGCCCUCGAUCUGAGGAAUGUCAGCGAGAGAGGAAGCGCACAAGACACGGGCGACGUAGACAGGUUCGGGCCGCUGAGAAGCGUAACACCCUACUCCUGUGUUCUGGUGGAUCUGUGUGUGAAGGAAUUACCGAGAGCCGGAGAGCCAGAGAGAGUUCCGCUCCAGCACCCUCUUUUUCUUCUCUCUUUCUUAGGCCUGGGCCUCCUUUUUAUCUGGUUAGGGGUCACCACAUGGGCCUCUUACUGCCUAAGAAAGGAAACAUGCUUUUUACAAUGAGGGCUAGUCUACAGCCGGAAGUGACCUCUGACAAGCAGAGCACACGCCUUCUGCUCCGCUCGUUCGCUCUCCCGGUGGACGCCCGUUUCAACCUUCAUUUAAUGGCCAGCGACUUCCUUGCUAUACUUGCGCUGAAGCCUGGAAUGGAUCUGACCGGGACUGACAUACCAACUCCAGGAGUUAGCACGCUGGCUCCGGCUAGGGACAAGAGCCAGGAAGCUCUCAUCAUUCCGACGAGACGGGGCGAGGCGUGCGACAGGCCGCCUGUUGCCACCUAACCCGCGAUCUGACCGGUCUGUGACCGGUCACACCCUGCGACCGGUCAUGGACCGGAUAAGCAUGCGCUGCGCCGCAUUGAAUGCGGCGUGGCGCGCGCGUCUGACCCGCUAUAAAUGCGGUUAGGUGAGCGCCGCUGUGCUCACCUAACCCACACACGUGGCGCCAACACCACAGGGGGUCGGGGCGCCCCAACCCUCGGGGCCGAAACGGGAGCGGCCCGACCCUCGGGGAGACAGAGGGAGGGAGGGGUGGCCACGUCACCCUCGGGCCCGACCCCCCCGAGGGGGUCAGGCCACGUGGGUGACCGUGGCUCCCCAAGCCUCUAGUCAUGAUACCCCCCGGCCCCAUGUCACCGACAACGCCGUUCACCGAAAUUCCAAAAAUCCCUAAAAUUAUUUCUUUAAAUCCUUUUCACCCAUUGUUGCACUUUGUGGUACUAUUUUCUUUUGGUUGUCUUUAUUUUUCUGUUAUUUUAUUGUGGUGAUGAUUGUUGCGUAAAUAGAAAGCAUUGACGUUGGUCCGGUAGUCGGAGCAAGUGAAAUCUCCGCGCCAGGAGGAGAUGGUUUGUACGACUACAUCGAGCCCGAAGGUUGCAAGACAUGCACCCUCCCUUGAACAAUUUAAUCCCAGUAGUUAGAGAGUUAUUUUGGUAGCGUACUUGUCCUUUGGAGUACGAUAGACUGCACGAAUUCUUUUAAAUUAAUUAUAUUACUAUUAUUGCAUUAUAUUUUCUGUUGUUGUUAUAAACACCUUAAUGAGCCUUAGAGUCUAACAAACUUAGGAUAAAAUUUGAGAAACACCUAAGCAAAUGGUUCAUUAUUUAACAUGCUAUUGAUUUAAUAUGGAUAUUAUUAUUGCAUAUGAAAACAUGCUUAUGGAACUAUUUAUGGCUAUAUGCUAAGAACUGUUGACACCGCAUGUGAGCGGGUGGUACACAUGAUAGAGUUCAUGUGUUUGGUUUUAUGGACCUGUUUAUGGUCGUGAUGGAUAUAUGGAUAUAUUUAUGGUUAUUUCUUAUUUAAAAUUGAUAUAAUAAUCAACCCCCUUUGUCAAUAAGAAUGAUAUAGUUUCGCCCAUCCACAGGAUCGAUUUGUCGAACCUGGCCGUAUAUUGCUCCAAUUGAUUGAACUUCUGCAGGCCUUUCGGUGUACUGGCCAUUAGCUUUCAAGUGUGUGAAGCAAAGUGACAUGGUUCAUGUUUAUAUGAUUUAUAUAUGUAGGCUCGAUGGGCCCCGAGAGUUCAGAACUGCCCUAUGGGCCCAUGAAGUUCUGGGCUGCCCAUCGAGUAACGAACAAUGGUAAGUGGAUGCGGAGGUAGGUUGGUACACACCUCAGACCGGAUCACUCCGAGCAACAUCCCGAGCAUCCUUUAACUUACUAGGUAGAAGGGAGAGAUAUAUGGAGCAAUAUUACACCUUGUUACUUUUCAGCCCGGCCAGCUGUGGGUAUCGUGUGGGUAAAGCUGGGCAAACACUGCAGAGUCGUUGAGUAUUCGAAUACGCCGUGCUCCCGGUUAAUGGAGAUGUGUCUAUGGGUGAUUCCAGAUUAUGGGCACAAGUUAAACUAAAUGGCUAUUAAUUAAUAUGGUUAAUUUAUUUAUUACUUGAUGUUCUAUUCAAGUUAUUUAUAGGUAACAUUUAUAUUUUUAUGCUCGUUAUUAUUGUUUAAAUUAAAUGUUCAAUACUGUUGUUUAUAUCAAAUGCUUAUUAAGAUAGGCUCUAUGAAAUAACUGUUAAGGUUAGGGUUUAAACCUUCCAGCUCUUAAUACUGCAUGUUUUAUAUUGCAAUUACUGCAUUUGCUAUCAUAAGCAUGUUUUGCUGAGUACCUUUUGUACUCAUAAAUGGGUUCAGAUCAUGAGGAGGAUGCUUGUGAAGAUCCUGUUGACCCGUUAGAGUGGGACAGCUAUGGUUUCUAGGUCAUCCUACGCUCAGGCAGUUCCUGUGGUGAAGUCUAGCAGUUUAUCUGUUUGUAGAAAUAAGGCUUUAUAGGCCAUAUAUGUAAUGGUUUGUAUUUAUGUUGUGUUGUGAAUUAAGUGACUUAAGUACUAUAUAAUCGAAGUUUAUGCUUUUAUAUCAUUUCAUGCGUAACUGAACAUCCUGGGCAGUUACGUAUUCGUGGGACACCAUGACUUUAUCGGGUGUCCCCACAAUUUCAUAUUAUAAAUUAUUUGGUUUUUUUUCCUAGUCAAACUUUAUUAAGUUUGACCAACUUUACAGAAAAAUAGCAACAUCUAAAAUAUCAAAUUAGUUUCAUUUAAUGUAACAUUGAAUAUAUUUUAACAAUAUAUUUAUUUUGAGUUGAAAUACUAACAUAUUUUUCUAUAAACUUAAGUAAAACUAAAAAAAAGUCAAACAACUUAGUAAUAUGAAAUGGAGGGAGUAGUUAUUUUCUCAUGUAUUUCCCUGUAUUCGUCACUUGAAACGAUGAUUUAGACCCUAUAUACACAGUGAAAAAGGCUUUGUCCAUUUCUCUCGGCGAACAAAACAAUCCAUGUCCCGUGGGAUUAUAUUCUUAGCACAAUACCGUCCCCACCGGUACAGUAUCAUCCGUCAUAUAGCAUAUCAAACACUAACAUACAACACCCGAGGUUCGGUAGAGGAUAGCACGACAAUACCACCUCAACCAACGAACAAAGGGUUUGUUCGAAUUGGUGCCAAAUAAACCUUAUCAAAAUUUGAAAAUUCUAAAAUUUUAUAAAUCGACAAUAUUAUCAAAAUUUUGAUAGGAUUGGCUUAAUAAUGUUGUCAAAAUUCUAUACACAUUACCAAUAUUUAGUAACAAACUAAAUAUAUUCAUAUAAUUAUCAAUUUUACUAAAGAGUAAAUUGCAAUUUGGACCACCUUUUAUUACCCAAGUUUCAAGUUUCAAUUUGGAUCACCCUUAAACAUAUCUUUUCAAUUUGGACCGGGUAAAUUUAUCAUUAUUACGGUUUGAACUAUCAUGAACAACUUUUCUCGUCACGUCUAACUUCUCUUUUGGCAAACAUAUGAACCAUACAUAGAAGAGUUCGGCUGUAUACUAGAGCUGAUGUGCUUAAGGUCGUUGUUUGUACUGAAAAAAUCGUUCGUGGUGGUCCAAAUUAUAACAAUAGCAAAUUUAUCCGGUUCAAAGUGAAAAGAUAUGUUUAAGGGUGGUCCAAAAUAAAACUUAGGUAAUAAAAUCUGGCCCAAAACGUAAUUCAAUCUUUACUAAAUAAUUGUAUGGCUGAAAACGUCAUCAAUAAACAGGCCCAAAAUUAACCGUCCCCAUACUACUGCAAACGCCACGCCAUCAUCCCUCCUGUCCUAAUCAAUUCUCUUUUUCGGACCGUUGGAAGCGUCCGCUGGCGCAGAGAAAGUAUCUGUGGUGGCCGGACAGAAAUAUCUCCCCUCCCGUCGGCCGUCGCUUUUGGCCGUCCGUUCUCUCUUUUGGCCACCCGUCCGCUAUCCUCCCCCCAAAUCUGCAAUCCCCCGCGCGCCCCCCGCUAUAAAAAUAUCUUCCGCCCUUGCACCCCUCCCCCCCAUCCCGCUCACGAGUUCCUCACUUCCUCCUCCGCCCGCGUCGCCCCUCCUCUCCUCUCCCUCCCGGCUCCCGGCUACCGCCGCCGCCGCCCCGAGGUGAGAGAACCUUUCCUUCCGCUCUCCGGCAUUCGUUUCGAUCAGAACGAACGGGGGAUUUGCCUCGUCGGAAUCCGUGGGGGAUCUCGCGCGGCCGACGGGCCGGGGUUGCGGUUUUGGAUGCUGCUUCUAGCGGUAGCAUCGUAGGUUUCUGGAUGCGUUGUGGAUUAGGGGGGUAAGGAUUUUGGCUGGUCUCGCUUUGCUUGCCUGCGUCUUUGCGGGUGUGAUUUCCGUAUGAUACGGUUGAUGCUUGAUAGAUCGUGCGCGCGUGGUGAAGGCCUCUGUUGCUACCGUGGUUAUCUAGUUCUCGAUCGUAUUGGUACAUGGGGGGCCUCUUUGAUUCUGGACGCUAGUUUUUCCACAUGGGUAUAUGCUCUAUGCUCUUGUUCGGUGCAGUGCACACGGGAGAGGGGAGACACAAGUUCCACAACUCCUUUGUAAGGCAUGUUUCAUCUGAGAUGUAGAGUAGUAUAGAAGGAAGUGUAUUUUUGUCCCUCAAGGGGACAUCCCAUCGUUUUGUGCAUAGCGUUCAAAAAGUUAUCAAAAAAUUUGAAAAGAAAUUGUCAAGAUAGAUCAUUAUACGAUAUAUCUUUUUCAAACAUGCAAGUUAAAAUUCGACUUAUACAAUUUGAAACAAAAAUAACAAAUUUAACCGUGAAUUACACGUUCUAUUCAUAGUUAAAUUUGUUAUUUUUGUUUUUACUUAUAUAAGUUGAAUUUGAAUAUGCAUGUUUGUGAAGUUACAUAUCACAUAUUGAUCUAUCUUACUAAAUUAUUUUAAAUUUUUUGAUGACUUUUUAAGUGACAUGCAAAAAUGAGGGGAUAUCCCCUUAAGGGAUGAAUAGAGUUCUCCAGUAUAGAAUUGAAAUAUGAAUCAUUUUUUCAAUCAAAACCAGUUCAUCAGGCAUCAUGAAUGAACUCUGAAUAUUAAAGGCAUCAGAGCUAGAGGGGUUAUUUCGACUGCUACAUGCAUUUGUCGUCAUCUUCAGAUAGCCUACAUGGAGAUAAGAUUAGGACUGUAGUUUUCUGCAAGUGCAGAUAUAAAGCUUUUGAGUUGAUAGCGUUGCACUGUCUUUAAUCAUUAAUUUUUCUCUACCUUUGGACAGGAAAUGGCUGCCCUGCAACCCUCAUUCUCUUCAGCAAUGGCUAUGAAAAGUCUGAAGUUACCCAAAACUGCAGUUUUACCUGGAUUUGGUGGUAUUGCACGUCCUCAAGAUGUGCAGGACAGGAGCGCUAACUUCACUUGUUCAAGGCCUAGAGCAGCUUCAGUGACUGACCAGUCAACAGCAGAGCCAGCAAAACCCAGGCAAAACAAGCACACUGUUGAUCCUUCUGCUCCAGAAUUUCUGCCACUCCCAUCAUUUGAAGAAUGCUUUCCAAGGAGCACAAAAGAAUCCAGGCAAGAUUUACAUUUCACUUUUCAUUAAGAACUGUAUUGGAAUUACUUACAUUCCGGUAUGUUAACGCCUCCACUAAAGCUUAUGUUGCCUGUGACUAUGUUCUUCAGAGAAAUUGUGCACGAGGAAUCUGGCCAUGUCCUCAAGAUCCCAUUUAGGAGAAUCCAUUUGACCGGAGAUGAGAAGCAUUUUGACACAUACGACACCAGUGGUCCACAAAACAUUAGUCCAAGGAUUGGUAACUCACUGACCUCAUUUCUCUUGUCAAACUAAACCCCCAAACCAAGCUAAUGAACAUAACAUCUUACAUUUUUUUAUCAAUCCUGCAUGAAAGGAAAGAUCAGCGGCUUAGUGGAAAUUAUUUCUUGUUCUUUUAUGUUCACUCUAAUGCAAUUAUGAUACCUUAUAUUGUUUUGAACUCUUUUUGUUAUUUUUAUUUACAAAUUUUAUUUUUUUUAUAUUUCUGUACUAUUUGCGGAGUUUUAUUUUUCAUUUAUACCAAUUUAUUUCAAAACUAAUAGAAAUAAUUUCCAUAGGGAACAUGGACGUAUGAUAUUAGGUAUCGUGCAGUUUGAUACAUGAAUGUAAUUGCAUAGUUAAUUUGAUAGUACCAAAACGGCCAGUAAAAAGAGAUGACACCAGAACAACUGAACUAAUACUGUUAAACCAAAAUGGUAUACAAACCAGUGUUGACAUCAUGCAGUGCCUAGGCUACCUUUUCUCACAUUUUCGCUACAUAAGUAACUAUGUCCAGUCCUCUCCAUAUUCAAAUAACUAUACUGAUAGGAUGGUUGAGGGUUCUUCCCUCUCUUUCCCCCUAACAUAUUUGACAAUUUGCAUAAGCAUUUGAAUUUUUUUGCAGGACUUCCAAAGAUAAGGAAGGAAUGGAUUGACAGGAGGGAGAAGUUAGGUGGUCCUCGAUACACACAAAUGUAUUACGCUAAGCAGGGAAUCAUAACAGAGGAGAUGUUGUACUGUGCCACACGUGAGAACCUUAGUCCUGAAUUUGUCCGGUCAGAGGUUGCCCGUGGACGAGCUAUAAUUCCUUCCAACAAGAGGCACCUGGAAUUGGAACCCAUGAUUGUUGGACGAAACUUCCUUGUAAAAGUGAAUGCAAACAUUGGGAAUUCUGCUGUUGUGAGCUCCAUCGAGGAGGAAGUACACAAGCUCCAGUGGGCUACAAUGUGGGGAGCUGAUACUGUCAUGGACCUUUCAACAGGGCGUCAUAUCCAUGAGACCCGGGAAUGGAUCCUUCGUAAUUCUUCAGUCCCUAUUGGGACGGUGCCUAUUUACCAAGCACUUGAGAAAGUUAAUGGUAUUGCUGAAAAUCUAAGCUGGGAAGUCUUUAGAGAUACUUUAAUCGAACAAGCUGAGCAGGGUGUUGAUUACUUCACAAUCCAUGCUGGCGUGCUUCUUCGUUACAUUCCUCUUACGGCAAAGAGAAUGACCGGCAUAGUUUCACGUGGUGGCUCUAUCCAUGCAAAAUGGUGCCUAACAUAUCAUAAGGAGAACUUUGCCUAUGAGCACUGGGAUGAAAUUCUUGAUAUUUGCAAUCAGUAUGAUGUGGCAUUAUCCAUUGGCGAUGGUUUGAGACCAGGUUCUAUUUAUGAUGCAAAUGAUAGUGCUCAGUUUGCAGAAUUGCUGACUCAAGGGGAACUCACACGCCGAGCUUGGGCAAAAGAUGUGCAGGUGAGAACAAUGUGAUCAAUUAAAUUACAAACUUUAUGCAUUUCAUAUCCUCGACACAUUGUAAUAUACUCCGCCAUAGUUUAAUGUUCCAAUUUUUCGUAUAUGAAACUGAGAACAUGUAUUGUGAAUAAACUUAUACAGUUGACUUAUUGGUCUCUGAUUUUGUCUGUUGACAAGAAUAUAGAACAUCCUUGAAAUAAGUAUCGCCUGCUAUCUAUACUGAAACUAUAGAUGCAAAUCCUAUACUCGAUAUGCAUAUGGUUCUACUAAAAAAAUGCAUGAAAUAAACGAUGGCCUGUAGAGUAUAGGGUCUCUAGAACUGGUCAGAAAGUAGAAGAUAUUUGCAAAGAUCAGCGCUUAAAACUUAUUCUUGUUCAAAAUGUUAGUUUGGUGUAAAUAGACUACAAAUGAAUAAAUAGUAGAAAUGAGCUGAUUGCUAAAUCUGCAGGCAUUAAUAAUGUCACUUAUUUUGGAAGUAUUGUAUUAUACAACUACAUGUUCAAUUAAUGCAAUAUAGUCUUCCUUAAUCAUUAAGCUUUUGCAGAAAGUAUCUGUAGAAAUUUACUUCUCUUCUUGCUUGUUACACUCUUUGUGAACUCAUACAGAUAAACAUAUGAGAAGAUGUUAGAGAUGUGGUUUUAAAACUCUUUAUUGUAAAUGACAUGCUCUAAAUGAUGAAUCGUUUUUGUUUCCCUAAUAAUUUGGUAGUAGAAACUUUGAACGGUGAUGUGCCUGAAUGAUGAUUUGUUUCCAUUAGCUACACAAUUCAAUUUUUUUUAACCUUGUCAAGCAGUGUUUUUGACAUUUCUCAAUUUUUAGGUAAUGAAUGAAGGCCCAGGGCACAUUCCGAUGCAUAAAAUUCCUGAAAACAUGGAGAAGCAACUGGAGUGGUGCAAUGAAGCACCUUUCUACACACUGGGGCCACUGACAACUGAUAUUGCACCUGGUUAUGAUCACAUCACCUCCGCCAUUGGUGCUGCCAACAUUGGGGCUCUUGGCACUGCACUUCUCUGUUAUGUAACACCAAAGGAGCACCUUGGAUUGCCUAACCGUGAUGAUGUUAAGACAGGCGUGAUAUCCUACAAAAUUUCUGCUCAUGCUGCUGAUUUGGCAAAGGGCCAUCCCUAUGCACAAGCAUGGGACGAUACACUAAGCAAGGCAAGAUUUGAGUUUAGAUGGUUGGAUCAAUUUGCUCUAUCUCUGGAUCCUGUGACCGCUAUGUCUUUCCAUGAUGAAACAUUACCAUCGGAGGGUGCCAAAGUGGCACAUUUCUGCUCAAUGUGUGGCCCAAAGUUUUGUUCGAUGAAAAUCACAGAGGAUAUUAGAAAAUAUGCUGAUGAACAUGGUUACGGGACAGUGGAGGAAGCGGUGAUACAAGGAAUGAAUGCUAUGAGUGCUGAGUUU
rnacentral:lncRNA from 1 species